rnacentral:lncRNA from 1 species
CGUGUCAUAUGACCUAGUUCUCAAAUCUCAACUGAUUAAUGUCUUGAUCAAAUUUAGUCCCAAUAUCUCAUCAUCUCAAAUCUCAAUUGAUUAAUGCUUUGAUAGUCUCAAUAUCCCAUCAUCCCAUCGCACUGUAUUUCUAUUGAUAUUCUAAUUCUAAUCUCAAUUGCUUGCUUACUAAUUCUAAGCCACGUGCCAAGCUUUCUCUCUUUAAUCUAUAAGUAUGAUUCUUAGUUAUAUCGGUCAUCCUCUUGGAGUCUUGUAUGUGUCAUAUGACCUAGUUCUCAAAUGUCAAUUGAUUAAUGCCUUGAUCAAAUUUAGUCCCAAUAUCUUAUCAUCUUAAAUCUCAAUUGAUUAAUGCCUUAAUAGUCUCAAUAUCCCGUCAUCCCGUCACACUGUAUUUGUAUUGAUAUUCUAAUUCUAAUCUUAAUUGCUUGCUUACUUUAUUAUAGAUGACUAAUGCUAAUGAUAUGUGUGUGUGUGUGUGUGUGUGUGUGUGUGUGUGUAUAGUUGUAAUAAUACCAACGUUUGAUUCAUAGUUAUGAGAUUGUGUUUUUCCGUCCUGUUAGGUUUAAAGAUUAUACACUCGUUUACUGUAUUGUUAGAGCGGUGAUUGUGUGCUUAAUUAUUAGAUUUUACUUCUAUUCAAGAGCGUAUGGUUCAAUUUGAGUAUGUAUGUUCUUUUAUCUUUAGCUUUUGUUAUUUAAUUUCUAUAAAAUGUUAUAAUAUUGAUUGCUUAAUGAUCAGUUAACUACGUGAUUAUUUGAUAUAUUUUUAAUCUAAAAUGUGAUAUGUAAAAUAUAGAAGAAAAAAAAUUAAAAAACUUUAUUUAAAAAAAAAUUUCAGCCCACCCUAACCUAAAAUCCUAGGUCCGUCAUUGCAUAUACAGAGUGCAACAAUGAGACUAGUUCAUUAGUCUGAUAUUGACUGAGAAUACUGAUCUUCUUCUCUCUCUUUAUACAUUUCCUAUCGUGACACCAAAAUGAAAUGGAUGAGCUCAUGCGCAAGAAAAUGAUCGGAGUAGUUAUCGGAAUCAAAACCAAUUUGCAUGAAUUCAUGCCUCGCUCUUACAUGGGUGAAGUUGAAUUAAUAAUCCGGGAUUAUCAAACACCAGACGCCACUACGUACUCGAGAAGGUAUGAAAAUUAUACAUGGAAAUUAAGUUUGAAAUAACAGAUGAAGCAAAACGGAAAACGGUGGAAAUGGUUGGACUUCGUUGCUUUCAUACCUUGACUUCUCGACUGAUGAUGACACCAUGGAUGAUUAUUGUAUCGAGUCGAUAUUGUCAUUUGCUCAUCAGGCGCUCUCAGCCGUAGCUAGCUCCACAAUGCAACUUAUUUCUUGUACGUAUCUACGUACGUACGGCUUGUCCUCACACAACAGUCGCUUUGUUAUCAGUGUAUCACUAUAAAUAUCGAGGCACCGUGGUAGUUUAACUCACACCAGCAAGCUAGCUCUCCCGGCCUUAGUUGUUUAACUACAUCAGAGUCUCAGCUUUCAUUUUUCGAGUGCUUCGAUUCCCCUAGCUAUAAUGGAUCCUCUGUUGGUUUCAGCAUCUCAAGCUCAAACCCAAAAUGGCAGUAGCACUGCAGAUGUUGAACGACGUUCAGCAAAUUUUUCUCCCAGCGUUUGGGGGGAAUAUUUUCUGGCAUAUGCAUCUGUGGUAGGUUAUUUUUGAAGUAAUUAGCAGCAUCAUAUGAAUGUCAUAUUUAUCUUAUUACCCCCUUCAAAAUUUUCAUCUACUGUAGGAAACUGCUGAUAUUCAAGCCGACAAACGUGUCAAAGAACUGAAGGAAGAAGUGAAGAGGGUGCUACUUAGUUCUCCGCCUUCACAGAGAUUAGACUUGAUUGAUUACAUUCAGCGCUUGGGGUUGUCACACCAUUUUGAGGAUGAGAUUCACCAAUUUUUGCAGCAAAUUCACAACCAAUACUCAUCUGCUUCUUCAGAUGAUGAUGACCUUCACACUGUUGCUCUACGUUUUCGGCUGCUUAGGCAAGAAGGAUUUAAUAAGGUUUCAUGCGGUGAGAAUCAUUCUUUUUUUCCAACUUUUCUAUAUAUUUAACAAUGGAUUAUUUCCUCUUAUUUCUUCUCUUGGUUGAUGAUCAUUAAGCAGACAUGUUCAACAAGUUCAUCGAUGUUGAUGGGAAUCUUAAGGAAUCAUGCGUCGCUGACGUACCAGGACUGCUAAGUUUGUAUGAAACAGCACAUCUAAGGAAACAUGGAGAAGAUUUCCUAGAUCGAGCAGUGUCCUUCACUACCACUCAUCUUGAGUCUGCAGUAGCAGCACCCGGCCGUUUAAGCCCCCCACUUUCAAAUCAAGUAGCUCAUGCCUUGUAUCAACCACUCUGGAAAGGAAACCCGAGGAUAGAAGCUAGGCAUUACCUCUCUAGCUACCAGGAACUCAACAGUGGUCCACAUUUUAGCCAAAGUCUCUUGACUUUUGCAAAGUUGGAUUUUAAUUUUUUCCAGCGUAUCCAUCAGAAAGAACUAAGUGAAAUCACAAGGUCAAUGAUCAGCUCCCCUUACUCGAUCAAUAUUUACAUACCGAAAAUUAGUGCUAACACAAUUAUACGGAUAUCUAUGCAUGUACUUAUAAAUUGGUAGGUAUUUUCAGGUGGUGGAAGGAGUUGGACUUUGUAAACAAACUACCGUUUGCAAGGGAUCGAAUAGUAGAGUGUUACUUUUGGUCUUUGGGAGUCUGCUUUGAGCCCAAGUAUCGUCUUCCGAGGGAAACAUUAUGCAAAAUUCUUGGCUUACUUACCAUGAUUGAUGACACUUUCGAUACGUAUGGCAAACUUGAUGAACUAGAGCUCUUUACUGAAGCUAUUCAGAGGUAUAAAACCAAUCCUAGUAGCUGCAUGACCAUUUCUUUUGUUUUUCAGUUAUAUAUUAACCUCUUUUAUUUCAUAAGAAUAUUGCGACAUGCUUGGUUGACACGCAUCUAUAUAUGUUGUUUUUGAUUAUCAAUCAGGUGGGAUCUCUCUGCCAUGGAUUCACUGCCUGACUAUAUGAAAAUUAUCUAUGAGGCAGUGCUGAAUGCCUACACUGAGAUUGAAGCCGAGCUUGCCAAGGAGGGAAACUCGUAUCGCAUUGCCUAUUUAGUAGAAGGAGUAAGUCUCAUUAUCUCUCAAGAGAGCUGACUGAUAAUUUUUUAUGGUUCAAUUUCAACACAUUCGGUUUUCAUCUGCCUCUAUAUACUUCAGUACGUAGAGCAAUGACAGAAUGAUUAUGUAUUUUUUUUCUCUGAUGAUCAGACGCAAUGUCUAGUUAGAGCUUACAUGAAGGAAGCCAAAUGGUACCACCUAAAGUGCACACCGAAAACCUAUGAUGAAUACAUGAGGGUGGGACUUAUUACAUCCGGCAUGUUUUUGGUAGAAGCAGCAGUCAUUGUUCCAUUAGCCGGUGAAAUUUCGACAAGAGAUUCCUUGGAAUCGUUGUUCAGAGACCCUAACAACAAAAUUGUAUAUGCUUCAAACAUACUUGGGAGACUUCUGAAUGACAUCCGAAGCCACAAGGUACAAAUACAGCAUAUAUAGUACUGAAUAGGAGUAAUAAACCUUGACCAACUUUGUUAUGGAAGUUUGUAAUUUGUUUCUGAGUAUUACACAUAUGUGCAGCAUGCGCAAAAGAGAGGAAAUGAUUUUUCAGCUAUACAAUGCUACAUGAAAGAACACUAUGUUACAGAAGAAGAAGCGCUGAUCGAACUGAAUAAACAAGUGAAUGACGCAUGGAAGGAUGUAAACGAAGUAUUGCUCCAGCCUCCCACGACUGUGCCCAGGCCAAUACUGUUGCUGUGUCUCAAUCUUCUACGAGUAACUGAUGUUAUAUACAAGAACGACGAUGGUUAUACUAAUGGUGGAGUUGUGCUUAAGGAUUAUAUAACUUCUCUGCUUGUCGAACCUGCUCCAAUGUAGGUUAUCAUCAAUCAACAUUCGACAUGUUAUCUUCCACGCGUUAUGACAAAUAAAGACUCGGUCUAAACCCUAAGGCUGGGUUAUUACAAAUAAAAGAUUUUAUGUUCUUUAUGGAUUAUUGUAUUUCUGCACGGGGCUUUGGUUCAUGUCCUCCCCGUUGUUUUCUCAGUCAUAAACCUCUUCUACGUACAGUAAUAUAUUUUGCCGGUGUCAAGGCUAUUAAUUUAUUUUGUUUGUGAACUUUACUUUCUUAAGAACUUGUUAUGCCAAUACAAUAUUAAAAGUAUAGAUUGAUGACAUGCAUACUUGGCCUAGUUUAGGGCAGCUCUGAGGAACUACUACCUAUCUGUGCUUGAUGAUCAGAUUCGAUGAAGCAACUUUCUCAUUGUUUGUCGAACAGUUGUUUGAGAUUCUGCUCCCCUUUGCCAAGUGAAAUCAGUGGCCGGCCAUUAUUAUUCAAAUCAUGCUUAACUAAAAUGGCAUGCAUGACAUCAUUUGAAAGCCGUAUUUUUGAAACCAAUCAUGUACGCGGUAAACUGGUAACUAAAAUUUAUCAAGGGCUCAUGGACUAAAAUUAUGACUACUUAUUUUUUUUUACCAAUUUAAGAUAAUUGUAUGCAUGUCAUACAUUAAUACGCCGUAAAAUUUUUAAAAUUUUUGUAUAAAGUUAUAAAUUCAUCGUAUUACUCACACCGAGUAUCAAAGAUAUUUUAAAACAAACAAAUUGAUGACAUAUUAAUUUUCUUUGACGAAUACACUGUAUUGGUAAAAUGAUUGACAAAUACAUUAGGAUAACUUGGAUUGCAAUACUUGAGCAAACAUGAGAUGUUUGAGUUUAAGGUUUCUCUUAUAGCAUGGUACUAGAUGAUGCCCGCGCGCUGCUGUGGUUUGCAAUGACGGAUAUUAACUACCGUAAUUGCUUUUGUUUGAAUCAAUGUUGCUGUUGUUGGACAAAAUUAUAAACACAAUAAUAUAAAAUGGAUAUUGCACAAUGACAUUGGUCACAAAAAGGAAAUGUAUAGCAUUUUUUGACUUGCAAUUCAUGAUGGUAAACAAAAUGGAAAUGUAUGACAAAAUAGAAAUACACAUGGUGAUGCUAUCGAUAUACAUAACAUAUAAAACAAUAGUACAUAGUAUUGUGUUAUAGACACCAAAAUAACUGGGCACAAAAAAUAGCUACAUCUAUUGUCUCUUUGGAUAGCAAAAUGCUUCCCACUGCCAGGCAACACCGGAUUGUAUCUGCAGUUAGAACCAACUAUGUCUAACUUGUUAGCAUCAAAAGGAUCACAUAUACAAAAACACAUGUUUCUUACUCCUGCUUUGAUUUGACCUUACAUUCGCUUCCUUGAGCUCUGGUAUAUGAACAUUUAAAUUCAGGCAAUGGAUACAAAGCUGUGAAAAGAUAAACAAAACAAAUGCAAAGCAUACCAUUGCAACAUAAACACUGAAAGAAAACAAAUGCAUGGAUAUGGAUAUAAGGGAUGCUUACUUUGAUAUCCCAUUGCUUUCUUCUCCUCUACAAAAAAUGCAUGGAUAUGGAUAUAAGGGAUGCGUACUUUGAUGUCCCAUUGCUUCCUUCUCCUCUACAAAGUGAAGAGGUAUGUGUUAGUUACUGGAUAAAUUUAGUUGUACAUGAAAAUGCCAACAAUCGUUAACAAUACAUGAAUAUCAGAAUGUAAUACAGACCAUCCCAUUUUAAUCAUACUACUGUAAUGUAAAUAGAUACUGAGAUAGAAACGAAAUGCAUAUAUAUGGAUAUAAGCAAUGCUUACUUUGACGUCCCUUUGCUUCCUUCUCCUCUGCAAAGUGAAAUGUUUUCAGUAGGGGAUCAAUUUGAAAGCUCAAGCAAAGAGAUUGAGAGAAUUCAGAGAAUCAAAGAAAAUAUCUUGCAUCUAUUAUCUUGUGUUACACAGAGGAAGAGAGAGACUUCAGCUAUUAUACCUAUAGCUAUUAGAGAGAUACAAUACAACUGUAAAAGGCUUAUAGAUAAACAGUAAAACUAGACUACGUUUUACUGUUUUACAACAAUUACUCUUAACACCCUCCCUCAAGCUGAUGGGAGAGAAGCUACCAUCAGAUUGCAUUAGCAAAGAGCCAAAGAACUGAGCAAUACAGUGACCAAAAAUAUUGGUUUCAACCCGGAUUAAUGAGCGGCAGUGACUGGCAUAGCUGCAUAGGAUAAGAGGCACGCCUACAAUUUAAUGUAGUUUGAUCCGAAGUAGAUAACAGUCGCCAAUUGCCUUGCACCGGUAAAGCUUCAAUUUCCUUAAGCACUUCUUGCUGCCAUUUAGAGAGAACUGGACUGGCAGUGCCAAUAUGCAAGGGAUGAGUUUGACUAGCAUCAAGGAUAUGAGUUGGUUGCUGAGAAGAAUAUGUAUGCCUGUAUAAGCAUUCAGCUGCACUAUGACCUGACUUCAUGCAAAUUUGACACUGCAUAUAAGAUCUAGAGGCAACAACUUGUCAAGGAGCAGAUCUUUGAGAACAUACUUGAGUAGUAUGACACUUGCUAUUGCAUAUUUGACAGGCUUCGGGAGUGUUACUAAUUCCAUUUGAGAAAUCAUUGACUUUGAGACUUCCAACCUUCUUAUUCCUUAACCCACUUGAAGUAUCAUAUAAGCUAGAAGCGCCAACAUGAGUGCUGUUGUGAAUUCUGUAGUUGUUCCACCCACUAUUCUGAUAACAAACUCUAGUUCUUCCUCUUCGGUCAAAACCCUUGCAAGCAUUAACAAUGGAGCUGAAAUACCAAGUUCGCUGACCCACUUGAGUAGAAGGAUGUGCACCAGAUUGUAAGAUAUUUCCAUUGUUAGUAAAGCUCAUUUUAUGUGAAGGGUCACAAUGUUGUUGUGGAGAAUCACUGCAUUGUUGCAAAGGCUCACCAUUUUGCAGAAUAUGACUAGUGUUUGGCUGAGAAAUUGUGCCAUUGCACAGAGCUUCACUUGUUGGAACAACACUUGAACCAAGAGGAUAAUCAAUAGAAUCAAUAUUCCCAACAAUCGAACCAGCAGAUAAAUUGGGAGUAGAUGUCACCAUAUGACCAUUAUUUGACAUAAGAGGUACCCCAAAGUUUCCAUUUUGCAUCAUGGCAUUAACAACAUAUGUAGGAUUCAUAGUAAAACCAGAUGCAACAUGGUUCAUAUUGUUAGGCAGAACAGUAUGCUGAGGUACAUAAGUAACUUGAGUGGUAAGAUGUGUCCCAAGACAUUGGUUCUCAAGAGAUGUCGUCACAGGAGUAGAAACAAGAGAAACAAGAGAACCCGAAUCCGUACCAGAAGAUUGGUUCUCAACAGAUAUAGGCACGGGAGUAGAGUUGACAAAUUGAGUAACAAGUUCUGAAGAGCUGCUGGUAAGAGCAUUGUUGUUUGAAAUAACAGCAGCAAACUCCAUUUCGGAACUAGGUAAAUAGGUAUUAUUCAAAGAAUAAGACUGAACAUUACCUCUGGAAGUAUCACCAAUUGCAGCCAUAGCUGUCUCCAAAGACAAUGAAAUAGACUUCAAAGUUUGUUCAAUCUCAUCUUCACCAAUCAACAAAAGAGACCUUUAAGUCUUUCAUUGAAACAGAGGAGCUCAGUGCUUUGAUUCUUAUAACAGUUUUUAUGGUAGCAAACUCUGAAGGCAAACCAUUAAGAACUGAGACUACAAUAUCUUCAUCAUCCAUAUAAACUCCCAUUGUAGCAAGUUGAUCACAUAUUGACUUCACUCUAAACAAGUACCUGUCAAUAGAGUCUGAGCCUUUUUUGAUGUUGUUUAAGGAGUUUUUGAGAUUCAUUAUGUUAUACCUUGAAUCAUCAACAUAUUUCUCCUUAAGCCGACACCAAAUUUUCUCAGAAAACUUGCUUCCAAUAAUGAAGGAGAGAGCAUCAUUGGACAAAGUAGCAGCAAGUAUAGACAUAAUGGCAGAGUCAUUUUGCAUCCAAUUCAUGUACUCUGUCAUAUCAGUGGCAACCUCAUUUUCUUCCAUAUUCAGGUACUCUGGAGGACAAGGGAAUGAUCUGUCGAUAUAUCUCAUCAAGCCACAACCCUUUAACAAUGUUUCUACUAAAAACUUCCAUGUGACAUAGUUAGAUUUGUCUAAGCGGAUAGGAAUGAGAUUGCAAAAAUUGGAAAGCAGACACUUGCUUAACUCAACACUGUUAUCCAUGAUGGCAGGCAACACAGAAUAAUGUCUUGACUGAGUGAAAUGCCAACACAACUCAACUAUCACCACUAUAGAACUCCAAUGAGUAACUUAUGAACAACACUGUGCUCCAGCAAUGUCUAGCUUUAUGCAAUUUCUUUCGAAAUACUACCAAUGCAUUUCAGUUCACUGGUUCCAUAAGAUCAAGUAGAUGAUAAGAAGCCAAUGACAAGGACUGCACGGUGACAAAGCUCUUCCAAAAAUAUGUAGUAUGCCUAACUUGUAACAAAUGUCUAAGCAACUUGAAGCAGCAAAUUCGAAUCUUCACUAUAGCCAAAACUUCUUGCAAACAGAGUGCUUCAAUAAUCAACAAAUCCUAUUGCAUGAAUCUAAGAAAAAGUUCAAUUGUAGCUUGUUUCACCAAUCUUUCAUCGUUCAACAACUAGAAGAAACACCAAAACAUAACAAAGAGAGAAUUUGGAGUAAAAUCCCCAAAUUCUAAGGUUUCAAUUUCUGGCAUAUAUCAACGAACUUCACACUGUUCCAAUUCAGCAACUAAAACUUGUAGAAAUCUGUAAUCGAACAGAUAUUAUGCAAAUCAAAUACUUCAAUCAAACUAUGAAUCUAGCUUUCUUCUUCUUCAAAAUUCUAGAAAACUUAUCUGGGAGAUGAAUCUUAUCUGGAGAUGAAUCGAACACCGAAGCAAGCAAGAACAACAAGUAUGAAUAUCGAUGAAGAGUGAAACUCUAGGUCGCCGGCGAAAAUCUUCGAUCCCGAUCGAACCUGGCUCUUGAUACCAUGAAAGCUCUUGAAUACCAGAAUGUAAUGAAAGAUCAUUCCAUUUAAAAGAGGAGCAUAGUUACUGUUCUCUGAUAAGUAUUCUGAGUAACACAUGCAUUGAACACACAACACAUAUAUGUAUAUAUAAUGAUAUAUAUAUAUAUGUAUAUAUUCACACAUGCAAUAUGGUAAUACCUUUUCUGCUUCUUUAUUUCAAUGUUCAAAAGCUCCUUAAGUGUUAAUUCUUUUCGGGGCUGCAUAGUUCUUUUUGCUGGAGUACUUGGCUCUGCUACUGUGUCAUGGACAGUGAAUAAAAUAGAUAUGCAUUGAUAAAGGUGAAACACCUUUACAAUGAAUUAAGGUAUGAUAUGUGAAACAUGGGAAAAAAAAAAAGUUUAAGCAGAAUGACAAAUACAAAGAGAUUUGGCAAAUGAAUUACAUGCACUUAUACAUUUCAUAAAUAAGAGUCAAAAAUACAGUGAACAUGUAAUUUUAAAAAUUUCAAAGGUGGGAAAUAGUGUUUAUUCAAGUAGCUGACAUUGGAUGCCCAAUCUGCUCUCCAUGGUGUCCACAACAAAGUUUUCUAGAAUUAUGAUCGAACCUAAAGGUCUUGCUACAGGUGGGGCAAGCUAGAUAAUACCAAUCCUCUCGAAUGAUAAAUUUUGUAAUCUUGCCUUACAAGUGAAGAUAAGACUCCUGUAGCAAGGUCAUCAGCAUAAAUUCAAAAACAUUAACUUGUAAUUCAAAACAUUUAAACCCAAACAUUAACAGCAGUUAGACAUUAAAUAAAAGUAUUAACAGGAGAUCGUCGCAACUGGUAUCAAAAUUGCUUUGGAUAAAGGAUCAAAUAAGGAAGGCCUGCAACUACCAUAUCAAUAAUAAUGAAAUAUAAAACAUGAGUGCCAGCUUGAGAAAGGAAACAUAUUGCAAUGUAUUGAUAAGUGUUAUGUUUCAUGAAAAAGUUAAUGAGCUACUUAGUUGCAUCCACACAAAAAAAAAGAUGGUUUUUUCCUUAUAUUUUGCAUAUGCUUCUUUUAUGAAAUCUGAUAACAUAAUUUUCAAGUGUUUUCAUUUUUGUUCAACCUAUUGAUAAUCAGUGUGUAAAUACUACCAUCAAGAAUGGACAACAAAUGUUUUAAAACUGAUUGAGAGAUUAUGUAGAUGAACUUGUAUAAGCCAAGCACCGGUCAACCACAGUUCAAAAAUAGGAAACAUAAAAGUACUUGUGAAUCAUAGACAACAUAUCAUAUUUAAUCAAAUUAUUUUACCUUGUCUUUCUUUCCAGCUUGCAUGUUCAAGGCACUAACAGUGAUCAUAUUCUGAUCUUGAAGAUCAGGAGCAGGUUGAUGACGUGCAGAUGAUAUUGUAAUUAUCUUUGGGGUGAGAAAAGGUUUGUUGACGCUGCAAAAGCAAACAAAAUAGCUUCAAUUGCUUUCAUAAGUUGAAACAAUAAACCUUAUGUUGUUCAACCUAUAAGAGCUUACCUUGCCCUAUAUACACAUAUUUCAGGAAUGGGUGGAUUGAUGAACGUACAUGUACUCAUCCCAGUAACGAAAUAUUGAAAGCACCAAAAACAGUUAAUAGCCAUUAUACAGUAACAACAUGUAGCAGGACAAAAUAACUCUCAUACCAAAGUGCCGGUGUUUUGUGCUUGUGAUGGCCAUCACAACUGGAGGUGUGGCAAAUUCUUAUUGUCUCAACAUCAAAUUCAGCUGCAAGUGUUCCCCACAAAGUGACUUUCAAAUUCAGCUGCAAGUGUUCCCCACGAUGUGUUGAAGGACGUGUUGCUUCCGAUGCGGGCGGAGGGUCAGGAGUACAAUGAGCCUCAAGGUUUGGCUCUCUUUGAUUGCUUUGAAAUGUGAAAGUUUGAAUCCAUUAGGAAUAUCACAUUUGUUGCCAGAUUGUGGCGCACUUCAAAUUUGAUAGGUUUCAGUUCAAAGUUUCAUGAAUAGGCACUGAUAUGUGAUGCUUAUGAAUUGGUUUUAUGAGAAGGACCACAUUGAAUUUGGUUAUGCACACCAGGUGCUUGAUGAAAUAUAUGUGAAUGAAUUUUGAUGUUUUUUCUUGAUGAGACCACAGUGGACCUUGAUGUGCUACCGAGGGCUGACAUUCUCAAGUUCUUGAGCAAGGAAUGUGAGGAAAGAGAUCCUACACGCUACAAAGAGAUGCGCAUUAAAGAUGAAACCUUAAGAAAUACAGAAUUCUGCCCAGAUUUUCAGUCAAAUUCGGCGGCAAAUUGCGAGCAGCUCAGAGCGAUCCAAGAACCUUGCCUUAUAUCAACGGAAAGCUAGAAGAGUCUAGUUUCCAGAACUUUUCACGGAUCGUUGAUAGCUAUUUUGUAGAGGAAGUUAUGGCCGUUGGAAGGAGGGAAUGUCAUUCUGCCGAAAACUGGAAAAGGAAGGAGAAAAGUCUAUCAAGCAAGUGUUCAUAUAACUGGCAAUGUAGCCGUUAAAUGUGGAUGAUGAUUUUGGAGGUUAAUUUCGCGGGAACUAGCAGUGCCCACCUGUCAGGUAAGCUUCACUUUCGACAUGAAGCUCUUAAUGUUUGAUUGAAUUUUUGCUUAUUGAUUUGUUCAUAUCUGAAAAUUUAGGAAAUAAGAGAAGCUUAGGGGAGAUUAAUUAAAAAUGAAGAUGACUUCUAUAUUCGUUCACAUGGGAAGUUUGAACAAAUUGCAAAUGAAUUAAAUGAAUCCAUUGUUUCUAUUGAUAUAUAAGGUGAAGCUCUAUGAAACAAUGUUAGAGUUGAAAUCUUAUUCGAUCUAUGAUUUACAACAAGAUUGGUGACAUUUAGCAAAUGAAGAUUUGGACAGGGUUUUAAAGAGUAUAUGUAUUUGGUGUAUAUCACACUUUAAUUAGGGUUUAUAUCCAAAAGAAAGGCAUUGUGUGUGUAUGAAAGUAUUUGUCAUAUUUUGUUUCUUGGCCAUACAUUUUAUUCCCUCUUGCUUGACAUGGAAUUUGGUUUCUGUUUUUUGUUUUUGUUUUUUUUUUUUUGUCCAGAAUUCUACAUUAUAAACUACCAAGCCUCUGAUUUGUGUGAUUGUGAUAACUUACUGCAUCACUUAUAUUGUAAUGGCAGUGGUUCUAACUUAGCUGCAAUUCGAGAGAAGUGGCCAAGAAGUACUGUCGUCCAUCAACUAGAAGCUCACAUUUUGAUAUAUGUUGUUCUAUGUUAAGUUGGUGAGGCUCAUCCCUAUUACACCCUCUACGCAUAUUUGACUCAAGUUGCUGUGAUAUAUAAUCAGUUAGUUCAGAACAAGUUUGUUGGGUUGUUCAAAACAAGCCCUGAUUUGUGUUGUUCAGAACUCACCAAAAGUUGUCCUUAGCUUCUACAAAGAUAGAAUAUGGUGCAAUUGUUGUUCUUGUAUAGAUAAUUUGGUCUACAUUUAAGAGAUCAAGAUUCUCUUUACAUACUUUUCUAUAAGAUAAAUAAGAUUGAUGUCCAGUGAUAAAUCUUUUAUAUAUGUUGCGCUAGUGUUACAUGGAUAGUUACAUAUCAAUUUUAACAGUUACAUCGGAAUGCUGCGCCAUGGUGCAGCGACACGUUGCAAAUAUCACAAAAUAGUCAUGGAAUAUAAAUGGUAGUUACAUGGGUAGUAACAUGGAUAGUUACAUAGAUGCAUAGUUACAUGGAUAGUUACAUGCAUAGUUACAUAGAUGGAUAGUUACAUGCAUAGCUUACAUAGAUAGUUACAUAGAUUAAGAGUGUAAUCUGGAAAACGUAAUAAAGAAAUAAGAGUGUAAUCUUGCUAUGUAACUACGAUGUUAUUACUCAAUUAAGAGUGUAAUCUGGAAAACAUAGUAAAGAAAUAAGACAUUUUCACCUUCAUUCAUAUGAUUUCAGUGGAUACUUGAUACAAUAACAGUAGUUUCCAGACCAAAAAAGAAAGUACAUCCUAGACUAAAGAGGUGCUAACCCCACUUUCUCUGCAUCAUAUCAAAACAACCCAGAGCUGCAUCCUAUUUGAUAUAAGCUCCUUCUUGCUGAUUUUGCCAAACCUCUCUGUUUAAGUAAAGCUGCAACAACAUGGCUGACAAGUACAAUGAGAUUUGUAAAUAAGUUAUAGCAUCAUGAUGACAAGUUGCUGAAGAAGUUCCAUAUGUGUGCGUAACUACAUAAGCUUCAUUGUCAAAGCCUUCUUCUGGAGUGAACCAAGCUUUAUGGAAUGAACCUAGUUCAGAAUACCAUAAAAAUCAAAUCCUUCUGUUCUUCAGUCACUACCAGAAGAAAGGCUUUAGCCGACGAAAAUAAAAAAACCAGGCAGACGAAUUAUUUUUUCGUCGGUUAACGUGGACUUUAGCCGACGAAAUUUUCCUUCGUUGGCUUAUUUAAAUUUUCGUCGGCUAAAGAAAUUUUUUCAUCGGCUUUAGUCUGUGAACUUUAGCCGACGUCUAUAUAAAAGUUUAGCCGACGAAUACCCUAAUAUUUCGUCGGCUAAACCCUAAACCCUAAACCCUAAACCUUAGCCGACGAAUACCCUAAUAUACGACUUGUUGCGUCUCAUCGAUUUGAAACUAUUUUCAGUUGAAGGUCCAGCCAAAAUACGUAAUUUAGACGGUCCAAUGACCUUUUCCGUGCGUUUAGGGGUUUGACUUAAGGGAUUGACCGUCCGGAUCGAGCCCUUAACCUUGUCGGAUCAAGUUGAAUUUUUUCCCAUAUAUGUAUUUUAUCAUGAUGGUCAGAUCUGAUGGUCGGAUUUUCGUUUCUCAAGUUUGAUCAUCACAAUCACAAUUUGACAUCAGAAUUAAACAAACACUCUUCAAAACAAAUUGAAGGACGAUCCCGUAACUUCCCUCAAAUACAUAGAGUCCGAAACCCUAACUUCCCCUCUGCCAUGUCACCGAUCCGCGUGACUCCUAUCAACUCAUUUUCCACCUUCAGAUUGCACACAUAACCGCCGUCCCUGACCGUCGGAUCGCACUCCGGAGGUCAUCCUCCUCCUUUAGAAAACCCACCUUUUAAAUUCUUGCUCUCUUUCAUUUCCUUCUCUGCAUCUCACUCUCUCCCAGACUCAAGUCUUCGUUUACAAAGAGAGCUCUCAUGGCCACCACUAAGUCCUCCAACGACGCACCGGCACCGGCGAAUCCAGCUCCACCGGCAAAUCCAGCUCCUUUUGGCGCAGCACCUCGAGAAGAUUAAGCAGAGCAGUGAGCUCGCUUUUGUGAAGAACAACUACAUGAAGCCUGACCCCAACGCGCCGCCUAAGCACGGCCGUGGCCGUCCUCCCAAGCCGAAGGUCCCGAGGGCUGAAGGAGCUGCUGCCAUGGUUUCCUCGCCUCUGAGGCCACAUGGCAGGCCUCCCAAGGCUAAGGAUCUGUUUUUCCCGACUCCGAUUGUCCAGAGCUCGACCUCGGGAGGAGGGUCAGGCAGGCCACGUGGCCGUCCUUUGAAGAAGGCCAAGACUGCUCCGGCUAACGCUCCUGCUGCUCUGACGAGUGGUGGUGGUAGUGGUGCUCCUAGAGGGAGAGGCAGGCCACCGAAAGUGAAGCCCUCCGUGGCUCCGGUGGGUUGCUGAGCUCACACUGAGAGUGAAAGUCGUUUAUGUUUUUUUUUCCUUUUUUAAUUUGGGUUAAUUUUAGGGUGCGUUGGAAUUUAGUGUUGGGCUAAUUGAUGGUCUAGCUUUCAUUAUCGCAGUGUUUGUUUAAUUUUCAUGUGUUGUGAGUGGUGUUGGCUUCUGUAUUUUGCAGGUUGCUUGGAAUGGUAAUUUAGAAAUAUCGGGUUUUUUUUUUACUGUAAUGGACUUAUAGCCGACAAAACAUUUAAGAUAUUCGUCGGCUAUAGUAUUUUAAUUUUUUUAUAAGGUUCAGCCGACGAAUUAUGGUAUGUUUCGUCGGCAAUAGUUAUUUUUUUAAUUUUUAAUUCGUCGGCUAUAGUUAUUUUUUAAUUUUUAUUAUAUACUUUAGCCGACGAAUAUCUUAAAUGUUUCGUCGGCUAAAGUCUUAUCUCAGACUAUGGUCGACGAAAUAUUUAAGAUAUUCGUCGGCUAAAUUCUGGGACAAUAGCCGACGACGUCUUCUAGUUUCGUCGGCUAAAGUAAUCGCUGACGACUUUUUCCCGACGAAACCAUAGCCGACGAAUUAAGCUAACAGGCCAACGAAACUUUUUCUUCGUCGGCUAAAGUGCUUGUCCUGGUAGUGAGUUUAAUGGGGUGAACCCAGCUUCAUAAUGCCAUCAGAAUCAAAGUAAAGCUGGAAACCAUCAAAAAAUGAAACUGAUCAGCAAGCUUACAAAUGCAUUGAUCAUUAUCACUAAGCAAGAUUAUAGAGAUAUAAUGCUUCUAUAAGCAAGAAUUACAAAUGCAAAUUACUUAAAGCAUUAAGAAACUCACAAGCCCAUGGUGAGUCUUGUAUCAAUGCCACUCUCUAUCUAGAAAGAAAAACAGUACCUUGGAGAACUUUUUAUCACGAUCAUAAUCAAGUCCAGGAGGGGCAUUCUGUAUGGUGGCUAGGGCUAACUAAGAUUAGACCAAGAUCGGAUUAUUUACAACUAACUGAGAUUAAACCAAGAUCGGAUUAUUUCCAACUAUUGAGAUUUAGCACUUCCAAUAGGGAAAUCAAUUUCACAUAGAUCAAAGAAUACAAAACCAAAUUCAUCAACAUGCUAAUAUGGUCCAAAACAGAUCGUAGUAUUCAUGCAACUAACUGAGAAUAUAAUUGCAUCUACAACUAUUCAAAAGAACAAAUCAUAUAACAUGGCAUAUGAGAUAAUAAGAUCGGUGUCCAAUUGAACAAAUGUCAGAUGGGAGAAUACUACGCCUUGUGCCUGAAAGAGAUGGAAGACUAGAGCUCAAGCAAUUUGAUCUUCACAAAUCUGUGUGAGGUGUGCUGAAGAACAUAAACAAGAAUAAUAUAGACUUAAAGAGAGAAAGUGAAUAUAUGUACAUGAUAAGACGUAUUUGCACACGCAUCAAUUAACCCUGUCAACAAAUCAAUCGUAGUAUAAAGCAAGCAGGGAUCGUUCUAAACCGGGGAUCCAACUACAGGGUAGAUCCAUCUAACCUAAUAUAAAUGUCGAAAUAAGCAUAUAGGGUUUAAAGGUUUGAUGAUUUCGAAAUAGACAUUGGAAAUAAAUCCUAAAUUACCUCUAUACAUAUUUACAUGUGAUCAACCAACAAUCAUGCAAACACAACCAAACAACCAUGCAAGAACAAAGAAGACGAUCUCUAAUCUCAUUUAAGUCCACAUCGUGAGCAAAUACACAACCUAAAUUUGAUAUGCACAUAAGUUCCUACGUGGUUCCUAUGACAUAGACAUACUUAGAAUUAGACUACGGGUUUCAUUCAACAUCGUGACACAAACAAGCACGGCUACGUGCUCUACUUAUAGGUCACACACAUAAACUAAUCAUGCAAUUACGUAUCACAUAAAGAAUCGAUGUGUUUAAGCACAAGUCCAAAUCAAACAUAGGUAGAAAAUCGGUGAAAUAACAAAAACAAUGCGACUUAUCAACUUCUUGUAUCAAAGUCGAACUUUGGAUGAUUAACACAUGCAAUAUCAACUACUUGUAUCAAUUACACAUGAAAAUAGAAGAAUGCACCGAAAAUCUUAAAGUAUAUAGACAUAAAACUCACGGCAUAAAACUUAAAAUCAUUGAUUAUAAAUUGUAAACUUUAAUUCAAAACAUGGCUCAAAAGUACCUCUAUCUCAUAGACAAGAAUCGAAACAUACUUAAGCAAAAACCUAAAACAAACAUAAACAAGAACAAACACAUUAUAAUCCGAAAGUAAAAGAUGACGCGGCUCGUUACCGGGCGCGUAAUUUAAAAACCCUUUUUUAUCAGAAUGUAGUAUUGGCAAAUAGGGUUCGAUCAAUCCGGGGACCUAAAGGGCGCUCCUGCAGUCAUGGUUACACUAAAGAAUUAGUAACAGAAAGUAAUUACAAGUAUUCAGUUACAAAUAUACACAUGGUACAAUAGAUAAAAAGGGGGGGUUUGAAGGUUUGUUUACUAAAUUCCUACGAAAACAGUAGGGAAAAGAAAUAAACUACUAUUUACAAGUGAUCGACUUCCACACUUUCGAAACCAGAUUCCAGAAAACAUAAUCGUAAUCUAAUGAACUUUAAUCACACAAUUGAGUUAUCACCAAAGAGAAACACAGAAGGGUUCUAAAUACAAGCCUACGAGGUCAUGCAUUUAAUCGGUUCUUCUAAAUAGUCAUCCAAGCUAAAACGUCUGAACUUAGAACAUUUUACAUGCUGCUGCUAUCAAUACUGUAAGUAUCUGUCUACAAACAUGCAAAUCAUUAAGUAAAAGAACGAACCCUAACAUGCAAAGAGUUUACGUACGACGCUUAACCAUUCACAUGCAAAACAUGUUCCUAACCAUACAGGAUAUGGCCUCCACUACUGGUGAUCUAUACUUACCAACGAGGCUUAGCACAGAUCAUAGCAUUAGUUAGCAUGCAUUCUAACGUAGGUAAAUCAAACACAAACAUGCUUCCAACGAAUUUCUAAGGCAACUGACUCAAUCGCAUAAUAUCAUUAGAACAAUGAAAUCAUAACUAUUAUUAUCUGAAAAUCACUUAGUUCUCAACAAAGAUUCCAUCCAAUUCGGAAAAUAAAACACAUGGUUCUUAAAUGAAACCUAAAAACAAAAGAAGAUGGCCAGAAAGUACUAGACAUAGAUUUACACUUUUCAAUGGACUGAUUGGCCGAUCAAGAACUUGAGGUCGUGCAAGGCUGUGCUAGGGCUUUAGUACUCCCUAGAACGUCCGAGGCAGCAAGGGCUUCUCUUCUUCUUCUUCUAGGGACUCACGGCAAUGAGAGAAACUAAGAGAACGUUUCUGAAUUUCUAAAGCGUAGGAAGUGAUGCUGAAAACGUUCCUCUCUGCUCCUUUAUAUAGUGGUCAUGUCGACAUAGGGUUUUACUCCACACCAUUGAUUAAAAUCUGAUCCAAGGGCCAUAAAUAAUAGCACAAUAUUUUCAGAGAAUAUUCCUUAGAAUUCUCUAGAAUAUCUUGCACAUUAAGAGUUUGAAUCCGGCUGGAAUUGUGGUUGAAUACAUUGCUUGUUUUCCAAAUUGAAAUCGGCUUGAAUCUCUCCUUGUUAAUUACCGAUUUGCUGCUGAUAAUUCUUCCCAUAUUUGUGCCAUUUAAUGUCCCUAGAAAAGGAAUAUAAAUCAGAUAUAAACUCUAGGAAUAUUAGGAAUUUAUAUGGAGAAAUAAAAGGUAAGAAUUUCCCUUAAUUUCCUUGAUGUUUGCUGCAUUAGCUCCAUAUAAAUUCGGCUGGAAACCCUAAAAAGAUGGUGCCAUUCUCCUCCUUUUAUGUGACAGAAUUUCGGCCUAAUCCAUGUAGGAUUUGGUUUCCUUGCUUCAUGUGGAAUCCCUGUCUCAAGAGGAAAGAAAGUUUCCAAAAGAAUUCAGGAAAGUCAAAAUAGGAAAGAUUCAAAGUUAGUAAGUUUCCCCAAUCAAAAUAGGAAAGUUUCCCAAAAUGAAAUAGGAAAGUUUCUCCUUAUCAAAACAGGAAAAUUUCCUAAACGACUUAUCCUUCUUAAUCCGCCGGUUUUAACUUCCUUUUUCACUUUUCCGCUCUUUUAUCUUUACAAUCAUAAAACAUGUUUAAAAUGACAAUGUUCAGAGAAUAACAUAACUAAAUAAGGUAGGAAAUACGUUAAUAUCGUAGCACUUUGUGCUCCUAUCAAAAGAUGAAAUACACUCUCAGAAUAUCCCUACUUGUUCUAUUCUUCGAGUGAGCGGAACCCUAGGCUACUUGCUUUGGAUCAAGGAUGAUGGUGGGUUUGGAUUAUGGUGUUUGGAGAAUGAUGAAGUUUUGGCAAAGCUUUGGUGUUAUUUUGCACGGGUUGAUGAUAAUUAAUUGCUGCCAUACUGUGCCCUAUUUAUAGAGUAACAAGACUUGAUCUCCAAGAAUUCCUCAAGCACAAGGAAUCCUAUUGAAUCGGCAAAACCAAGUCCAAGUUGGAUUUAACUUCCUCUCUUGUUCUUCAAGUAAUCCUCAUGCAUUAAGGAAUGACAAAACCAUCUUGAACUUGGAAAACCUUCUCUUAGGCCGCACGGUUUCUCUCUCCUUGGUGACUUGGGAAAUCUUCACGGCAUCUCCAUACAUAUCUCGGAUUGUACUUCUCCUAGCUCAAGCAGGAACUCCUAGCUGCUGGCCACAUUUCCCUCAUAAGUCAGGAAAACAUUUCCUAAUCAACACGGGUUUAGACUUUCCUGAAAUAGAAAUAAGAAAAUUAGAAACUAGGAAAGAGGAAAGAUGGAAUCCUGAUCAAGACAGGAAUCCUGAGUAAACAAGGAUUUCCAACACUUAGCACAAUUUCAACACCAAAUUAUUCAAAUCCGAAAAUUCUAUGAAUUCUAAUACUAAAACACAAAUAUAAAGCUAAAACAACUAAAUAGGAGUUAACAAAGGGUAAAUAAAGGGUAUAAACAUAUUAAGAACGUCACACUUUGUGCUCCUAUCAGUACGCUUUCGCUUUGUGCCUGUUAUUCCACCUCAUAGAGAAGGAGAUGGGAGAACCAGGGCUCAAACAAUUUGAUCUUCACAAAUUUGUGUGAGGUGUGCUGAAGAACAUAAACAAGAACAAUACAUACUUACAAAGAGAAAGUGAAUAUAAUAUAUGUAAGCUUUGUGCCUGUUGUUCCAUCUCAUAAUCAUGUUUGUGUUGUCUUAAGCUGCAAUUGUGGCCAACUCAAACAAUUAUACCAUAAACCCGUCAAAAAAUUUGGGGAAAAUCUAUAUAAAAAAAAACCCUAAAAUCCAGAGGAAAAUGGUGAGUGAGUACAUACCUUCUUCGGAUCUCCGAGUCGGGUCCAUGUUCUUAAACUCCUUGUGGAUUCAAGACUAGAGCGCGCCUUCAUCGGAUCUAUCGUCAACAUCCAGUCCAUUUUAUCGGAUCCAUCGAAUUCUAGCGUCGGAACGUUAUCGAUUUCGACCAAUUCUUCGACAACAACCAGAUCUGAUUCUUCGACAACUCCGAGCCCAAUCCCGUCCUUCUUCUUCACCGCCAACAACUUGGCCAGGAUGAAGAUUAUGGUCCUCACGUCUGGUAGGCAGGAGAGAGAGAGAGAGAGAGAGAGAGAGAGAGAGAGAGAGAGAGAGAGAGUAGAAGUGCAUAGAUCCUGUAAUGUGAAGUAGAUGGAGAUAGGAUAUUAGAGGAGUAAUUUUAUUACUGAAGAGUGUUUCAAGCACUAUUAUUUCACAGUCUUACAGCAACCAAAGCAGCCUAGACUCAACAGCCCUAACCGUGCUCAAGAGUCCUAGCUACAUAUAUAGUUCACAAAAUGAUACAAACAAGUUUAUUUUAAAUACAUACCACAACCACAGAUGGUUUUAGUUCUUAGGGAAGUAGCUCCACUACACAACUCAUAAGUAGUAGCAUAACAGGUCUGGGAUGGUUUGUCACAAUGAAACAGCAGAUGACAACUAGAUAUCAAUCGGUGCAGCAGCGAAACAUGAAGAACUUCUCCAUCUCACGACCACACUCGGUACACACCACUUUGUCCGGAAUGUCUGGACCGAACCCAGGAAUGAUCAAACGAGUACAAUGAUGUGGCUCGUGAAGCUGUUUGAGCUGGUUUUUGAGUUCAGGCAAAAAGCCUAACUCAGCAGCUGCAGGUUUCCAGGCCUCAAAGUCGUCAAGCGUGAUAGUAGUCAGGUGUCCAUUAGCUCUAACAGUAUCAGCUGAGCCCAACCACAACAUAACCCAACCAUGGUCACUUCCAUCAUAGCUAAAUAAACUCAUGACCUCUCUCAGUAUAGUAUCAUCGUCUAUAGUCUUGUGGUGCUUAGCCUUUGAGCACCUCAUGCUGUCAAGUCGAGACCAAAAGAACCAGGUGGAUGUGUAAUCAGACCAGUUGCGACUGAGAUUCUCAGCAUCAAUAAUUCUGUUAAGUUUCCAGAGUUUCUCUUUUGAGGCGGUGCUUCUUCCUGCAUAAACCAAUUCCAAGGGAAUACCUGUACGUUUUGCCAUUGUUUGUCAAACAGUUGGUUCGACUGUUCGAACUAAGACUUCUAGCGAUGAAGCCGAUAAUGUCAAGAGUUUAUCCGAUGUGCAAGGUGAAUGGCGUGCAAUUUAUAUGUGAACAGAGAGAUAGCAGACGGAGAACACAGAAUUCUGGGGUGAUGGCGCAUGGCGGGCGGAAUGGAGUUGACUAUUACGGUGUUCUUGAUUCAGUGGUGGAACUCGUUUACGGUGAAAGCAUGACAGUGCACCUCUUCAAGUGUAGAUGGUUUGAUACUAGCCCGCAGAGCAUGAAGACCGAUCAGUACGGAAUAUUAUCGGUGAACACUGCUACAAGUUCUUACGAAGAUGACCCGUUCGUUUUUGCCACAUCGGUAAAACAAGUGUUUUAUCUUGAUGACCUUGCUAAGGGUGACGCGUGGAAAGUAGUCAACCUUGUGCACCCUCGAAACAUUUACCGGGCGGCUACACUUGGAGAGGCCGAAGACCAGGAAGAAGAUGUUGCGUAUCAAGAGCCCAACGCAAUAGGUAUUCCUAACUCCUCUACCGUUCGCCUUAAUAAUUUUAAAGCGGGUCGUUCGGUGCGAAUUCGUGAUGAAGAGCCAAGGCUUAUUGAUGUUGAUCCAAAUCAAGAAACAGACGAAGACUCUGGCGAUGAGGAAAUACAUUGAUUACCAGAAAUUAAUUCUGACACCGAAGAAGACUCAUCGGAUGAUUCCGAUUACGAGCCUUAGUUUUAAUUUAGAAGACGUAAUACAUUAAUUUGUAAUAAAAAAGAUUGUAUUACCUUAUACGACUUGUUGUGUCUCAUCGAUUUGAAAAUAUUUUUAGUUGAAGGUCUGGCCAAAAUACGAAAUUUAGUCGGUCCAACGACCUUUUCCGUGCAUUUAGGGGUUUGACUUACGGGAUUGACCGUCCGGAUCGAGCAGUUAACCUUGUCAGAUCAAGUUGAAUUUUUUCCCAUACAUGUAUCUUAUCAUGAUGGUCAGAUCUGACCGUCGGAUUUCAUUUUCUCAAGUUUGAUCAUCACAAUCACAACAUGCCUACUAAUGUUGUAUAACUUGUUUACCGAGUGUUAAGUAAAUGUUCCGUUUCAAAAACAAACUAUACAUAGAACCUUCAAACGUAAAAAAGUCAUGAAAUAAGACAUGACCAGAAUGGUGAAAUACGUCUACGGUUGAAAAAUCACGGUAUUCUGGUAAAGUAUCGGUGCCGAUAGUUGCGGUCAAUGCAAUUUUCCAUUCUUUCUCCCUAUGGGUAGCCCUAUCUUCGGUGGUUAUUUUGCGUAAAAUUUUUAUAGGACUUGUUGCGUCUCAUCGGUUUGAAACUAUUUUCAGUUGAAGGUCCAGCCAAAAUACGUAAUUUAGACAGUCCAAUGACAUUUUCCGUGCGUUUAGGGGUUUGACUUAACGGAUUGACCGUUCGGAUCGAGCCCUUAACCUUAUCGGAUCAAGUUGAAUUUUUUCCCAUACAUGUAUUUUAUCAUGGUGGUCAGAUCUGACGGUCGGAUUUUCGUUCUCAAGUUUGAUCAUCACAAUCACAAUCACAGUUUGACGAAUGGUUAAUUGUUUUAAAGCAGACGAAUUUCAAAGGUUUAGCCGACGAAUUUAUUGUUUAGCCGACGAAUUUCAAAGGUUUAGCCUCCUCCUCCUCCCUCUCCCUCUCCGGCCUCCUCCUCCGGCCCUAGCCUCCUUCUCCUCCUCCUGCUCCGGCCGGCCGGCCUCCUGCUGCUCCGGCCUCCUCCUGCUGCUGCUCCGGUCCUCCCUCCUCCUCCUCGAGUACAUUUCUAAACUUUAGUUAUAUUUUGUGUUUGCUUUUAUUUUUCGGUCAAUUGCAAUGUUGUGGUGUUGUUAGGAAGUGUAUAUUUGUAUUUAGGAAGUGUAUAUUGUUAUUUAAUAAGUGUAUAUUUGUAUUUAGUAUUUAGGAAAUGUAUAUAUUUGUUUUGUAUUUUGUGUUUGGUUUGAUUUUCCGGUUAAUUGCAAUGUUGUGGUGUUGUUAGGAAGUGUAUAUUUUUAUUUAUGAAGUAUAUAUUUAGGAAGUGUAUGUGUAAAUUUUAGGAAGUGAAAAUGUAUUUAGGAAGUGUAUAUAUUUUUUACAUUUUUUAAAUGAGUUUGCAUUUUUUGAUUUUGUGGCCUUGAUUCAAAUUUAUAUUUUAAAUAGGAUGAGCGGUAAUAUUGGAUCGACGAAGGGUUCGAAGGGCCAAAAGUCCGUAUCGUCUGAGGGAACCUCUAGCAACCCUCAGACAUCGUUUCAGGGUCUCAUGACAGCUAGACAUGAGAGCCUUCUGCAGACGGCGCAGAGGUAGCCGGAGAUGGGCCCUUCAUCAAGGCAGCGGGGCGUCCCUCAUAUCUCGAGGCAGUUGUUUACUCAGACCCAGACGGAGGUGUCUGCACCCCGUAUGCCUGAGAUACACCGGGCGCCCACUCCAGGUCCUACUUCUUCGGAUAGUGGGUCAUCUGGGGUACAGAUGCCGCCGCCUCAUCUAUAUCUUCCGCGGAUGAUACCGGCCAUACCUGUAGUCGAUGACUCAGGGACGCCGAUUUAUCCACUGCCCCCGCCAGUGGCUCCAUCAGCGGCGUACUGGUUCGUGCCUUUUGAUACGCCUCUUAUUUCCGCGAGGGUAUCAUCAUCGGAGACGGAAUCCGUCGCGUCCGCCUCCUCGCCCUUAGGUAAUGAAAGAUGAAUGAUUUGUUUUCUUAUAAUUCUUCGAUUUUAAUAAUCAAUUUGGUUUAUCAUGUGAUAGGCACCGUCGGAGCGAAGCCGACAAAAAAGAAGAGAGGCCCCGUCACAGGGAAGGCUCUCGAGAAGAUCGUCGGUACCUCAGGGAGGAUUGUCAUCGGUACUGAUGGGGAUGGCGACGUAGUAUCGGGCGGGAAGUCGAGGACGUACUCCGGCCGUGUGGGAGCGCUCAUUAGGGAUAGAGUCCCCAUGUUGUGGUCAGACUGGGGCGAGGUCCCGCAAGAGGUUAAGGACAUUGUCCACAACGCGAUGUCGGUGAGUUUACAAAAUGCCUUAAUAAUAUUAUGUAUUAUAGUUUAGAUUUCUCGAAAAACUAAACUAAUAAACGGUUAAAUGCAGGUGUGGUUUGAGGUUCCCGAGCCCUUGAAGAGCAGCUGGGCGGACAUUGUGCAUGGGGGAAGGUACAUUGGGAUUAAUGAAAAAACAAAAUUGUAUGUCAUAUUAAUAAUAUUUCUAAUAUUUUUGUUGUAUAUGUAGGUACAAGGAGUGGAAGAACGAGUUGCGAACCCAUUGGACUACGCACGGGAACGCACGUUCUGCUACCCCUGCUGAGUUCCAGUACAGAGAGUAUGAGUGGCGUUGGCUUCUGACAUCAGAAUUCAACAACCCUCGUAAACAGGUAUUUAAAUAAAUUAAUUAGUGAAUUUGUCAUUAAGCACGUGCGUUUUUAAAUAUUUUACUAAUAGUUUUGUUUUUUCUUUGAAGGCGGUUUCCCGGGCGAACGCUCAGAACCGGCAACGCAACACAAGGAACCAUCAUGCCGGUUCUAGACCGUUCGCUGUCUUCAUGGACAAGGCGGCCAGGGAACAUCCAGAGGUCAACCAGUACGUCUAUACGUACGAGAAGGCAUAUCCUGACUCCCAGGAGGAUAUAGUAAGUAAUCUUUCCUUUUUACAAAAUUUUUAAUUUUACUUAUAUAUAUGUCAAAAUGUUAAUUAAUAAUUUUUUUUCUAUCCAAUUAGGCAAAGGUGAUGGAGGCUAGUGACGAGGUGAUGAGUGCUAUAGUGAGGGAGACAUGGCCGGACACGCAAGAGGAAGAGAUGUCCGAAGCCAUUUCCCGGAUCGACACUUCAGAUCCGAGGGUUGGGGCGAGGAUCAUGGGCACAGCCUUCCCACCGCGAGAAAACAACUUCUACUGCCGGGGUCUAGGAAAGAAGGGUCAGGGGGUCUUGAAGACCACUCCAGGAUUUUAACGAAAGGCAGCCUCGACCAGCAGCAGGACGACUCAGCUAGAGUCGGACGUUGAGAGACUACGGGAACAGCAAGCCUCUCAGGCUGCUGCUCAGGCUGACGCUCAUGCUGCUCAGGCUGCCGCUCAUGCCGCCCAGAUCGCCGAAUAUAGAGCCUAUGCUAGAGCCCUACAUGCCGCCCAGCAGGCCCAGCAUCAGCAGAUGUUCUAGUACUUCUAGGAUUUUACAGCUGCCCAGCUUCAGGGACUUCCACCUCCGCCCAUGCUUGCGCCUAUACAGUUACCUCUACCGCCGCAAUCUCCUCACCAGCAGGCCCCAGAAUCGGAUCUUGAUUUAGACCAUUUAGAUUUUGUGUAGUUGAUACCUUAUAUAGUUUUAUAUGCUUCUUGUUGGUUAUAUAUAUGGAAUUGUUUUGGUGUAUUUUGCAGCUUGCUUGGAAUGGUAAUUUAGAAAUUUCGAGUAUUUUUUUUUACUGGAAUGAAGUUAUAGCCGACGAAACAUGCCACAAUUCGUCGGCUAUAGUUUUUUAAUUUUUUUUCCAUAGGGUUUAGCCUACGAAUUAUGGCAUGUUUCGUCGGCUAAACCCCACUAAAGCCAACGAAACAGACUCUAUUUCGUCGGCUAUAGUUUUUUUGAAUUUUUUCAUUAAAUACUUUAGCCGACGAAUUCUGUCGGCUAAAGUCUGGAACAAUAGCCGACGAAUAUUUCUGUUUCGUCGGCUUAAGUUUGGGAGUAUAGCCGACGACGUCGUAUUUCGUUGGCUAAAGUCUGGAACAAUAGCCGACGAAAUAUAGUGUCUGUUUCGUCGGCUUAAAUGCAUGAAUAAAAGCCGACGACAAAAUAGUUCGUCGGCUAAAGUCUGGACAAUAGCCGAUGACAGUCUCUAGGUUCGUCGGCUAAAGCCAUCACCGACGAGCCUUUCCCGACGACACUAUAGCUGACGAAUUUGGAUAACAAGCCGACGAAAAUUUUUCGUCGGCUAAAGUGCUUGUCCUGGUAGUGAACCUAACUCUGGGCUCAUUAUGCUGGGAGACUUUCUCCCGUUACAUUAGGAGACGUAAUUGAAGAGGGACCCAUGGAUCCCAGCUUAACCAUAUUUAAGGUAUUGGGUUUUAAUCACAAAAGACAUCAGUACAAUUAAGUGUGAUCCAUCCACUUAUAAGUUGUAUUUUAUUUAUCUCUUUUCUGAUGUGGCAUGGGAUCUUUCCUCUCCAACAGAGAAGUUUAUCAAUAACUGUUAAUCUUGGUUUGGUAGAAAAUGAAAGAUGAGAUCAUUUGUUUUCAUGAUCUCAUAAGCAGCAUCUGCAGAUGAAACUAUGAUCACAUGUCGGGAACCAAAAUGAAGCAUCAUGAGUUCACCAUGGUACUUGAUGUAUCCAUUAUAUGCUAUGUUUUUAUACCUUUAAAUCUCGGAUUUGUAUUAUACUUUCUGUCACAUCCUGGUUCUUAAAUUAUUUUUAUCGUUGGGUUACUUUGAUCUUUUACUGUUUUGAGUAACCGUUUACUAUUUAAGGACCCUAGAGUUGACUUUUCGUAAGAAAAUUAUUUUGGAAGAAUUUUUAAAGGACGUCGAUCGUAGAAGACGUUAAUACGAAUAUCCGUAGACAUGCUAUACGUUAAAAUCGGAGUUGGUAUGAAAAAGAUAUGGUGUAAAGACUAAAGUUACUAUUUUUGGUCAGUGGUAUAAAAUGGUCCAAAGGUGGAAAGUCAAAAAAGUAAAAAAUCAGAACUCACCUUCUCUCUCUCUCUCCUCCUUCUUGUGUCUCUCUCCCACAACAGAUUCUUCAUCGCCGUUCGCUACCGUCCGACCGAGUUGGGCGGCAAGGUUGGUAUCAAAUCGAAGCUUGGACAUCCCUUUUCAUGUUUAGGUAGGUUGUUGGCCGUGUCGUGUUGCCUUGAGGGAGAAAUCAUGCCGAGAAGACGAGGCUGUGCGUGGUGGAGUUCAGCUUGAAACUCCCUCCUUCGGCCACCAUCGUCAGAGAUCCUUGUAUUAACUUGAAGCUCUCCUUUCAGGUAGCAAACCCUCAAAAGGAUUCGAUCCAAUUCAGGCUAGGUAAGGAGAAUCAAAGCUUUGAAAUUCUAGGGUUCUUGAUUUUGGGAUUUUCUGUUUUGGCUCGAUUCGCAUUUUUAGACUUAAAAUUGAUCUUCGGGCUAGUUAUGAAAGUUGUUUAAAAUGUUGAGACGAUGAUUGUGUUAAAUUUUGGUGAGCAUUGGAGGUGGCCGGAAUUCGGGCUGGCCGGCCGCCGUUGCCUGCGAAGCAGACGGCAGCGCUGCCUCUUUUGGGUUGUUUUUCAUGUUAUUUAAUUUGUUAUGAUGAGAGGAGUCCAAUGGUGUAAAGUUUAUAAUUUUUAAAGGAGUUUUGGUUAUGUUUGAGAUUUUUCAAAAUUGGUGAACUUAGCGGUUGAUAGGAUAGAAUCCGAUCAUUGGAUUAGUGUUAAUUAAACUUCAGAAAGUUGUUUUAAGGAUUUUGAUGCUUGUGGUGAAGUUUGAGUCUUAUUGGUCUACGGAUGGAGAAGUUGGGCAAGGGUGAAGGAUUUAUAGGCUCACUUUUAUUCUUGCACUUUUUUUUAAAGUAUCGAGUUAGUCUUGAGACAUAAUAAUAUCUAUUGUUCAAGACGUGAGGAGGAUCGUGUUGGGAGACCUCGGAUCGAUGGCAGACAUAGUCGUAUACUGUGAGUGGACAUUUCGGUUUUUAUUAAAUAUGUACGCAUGACUUUAUAAGUUAUCGUUAUUAUUUUUACCGAGCUUAUAUAUUAUAAUUUUGGCUUAUGACUUGGAUCAUAAAUUAUUUGAGAUCGUUAAUAAUUUAUGGAUUUGAGCUUGAGUUAUUAAUUUGGUAUUUGAGUUUUGUUAUUCUUUAUGAUUCCCGGAUUUAAUUAUUAUCGUCAUUAUUUGUUGACCUUGAGAUUUAUAAAAGAUUACCGAAGAUGAGAUUUCCGAUAGGUCUCAAUUUAUAAUUUCCUCGUUUAUUGUGGAUGUUCGAUUUUGACAUUGAGAAUAUUUUAGUGAGUAUUUCGGGUUGAGAAAUUCUUUAAUUUACGAUUUAUACUUGAUAAUUAAGUCUCGCUGAUAAAUAUAGAUUUGAGAAUAUUUUGACAUGCGAGACAUGUCAUUGAAUAUUAUUUUAAUUUCAUAUAAUAAUCUCCAAGUACGGUUGGGAAUCGUACCAUUUGCAUGAUUUUGGGGAAGCUUUAUGGAUUUAAGUGAUUUUGUAUGUUUUUAGUCACCAUACUAGGGUCACUCUUAUUCAUUACUAGCUAUCUUUUAUUAGCGGUCCUCACCAUAGGUGAGUCGAGUGCUUAACGUGGGAUGUUAUUGUAACCUGGGAGGCUCUGAUUGGUUUUAUUCAUUGUUAGCUAGCCAUUAUUAGCGAUUCUCACCAUAGGUGAGUUGAGCAUUUAGAGUGGGACGUUACUAUCUUAUUCAUUGUUAGCUAGCCUUUAUUAGCGGUCCUCACCAUAAGUGAGUCGAACCUUUAACAUGAGACGCUACUAGAGCCUAGGAGGCCCCAAUCGGUUUUUAUUCAUUGCUAGCUAACCAUUAUUAGCCGUCCUCACCAUUGGUGAGUCAAGCCCUUAGCGUAAGAUGCUAGUAGAGCCUGGGAGGCUCCGACCAGAGCCUGGGAGACUCCUCUUAUAUGGUGAUAUCUCUUUCCCUUGUGUAAUUUUUCUCAAGUUGUGUAUUUGAUUAAUCAACGGGGCUGGUUUGUCUAUUCUUAUGUGGUUGCGGACAAUAAGCCGAAUGUUUGAUCAAGGUUGCUUGCAUCAAAGAGGUUUUAAAGUUUAAACAUGGGAAAGUAUCUGAAUAAGAUUUUGUUAAAUUAUUUAAUUUUAUUUUUGUCCACUCACUCUAACUUCUUUUAAUUACUUUCCUCUGGGCCAUUCGGUUUCAGAUGCCCAGUUUGCAGGUUAGCUUAGAAGAGGUUAGGUGUACACGGAGUUCAGCUAUAGUCAAUAACAUAGCUUUCGCUGGCUUCCUUAUCUAUGUUUUCUUUUCUUAUUAGAAUUGCUCUGAUUACCUUUGAGAUUGUUGUGUUCUGGGUGUUGAUGCAGUGCUGGGAGCAGGGUGACUCUAGGAGUUGAGGGUGAUUUUUUUUUAUUAUAAAAGUGUAUGUUUGGAUUUGGCAUGUAGGGUUGUACAUUUUCAAAGGAGGUUAUGGACCCCGCAGGGUUUACUCCGGAUUUCAAGAGGAAAUUCAGGAUGGGUCCUGACACUUUCAAGUAAUUUAGUUCAAUUUUACUUAGUUUGUCGUUUUUCAGGUUCAAAGAGCAAGGAGAAGCAAUUGGAGCAGGAAGGAUUGAAAGCGACAUAGCAAUCCCGAAUUCUGGGCAGUGAGGCUAUGCAGAUCAGCCAACUUCGCCAAAUCACUGAGAGCAACUCAAAUCGAAUCAGAUGAUGAGCCUUAUAGCAUUACAAAGCUACAAAUGUCUUCUUUCUAUAGCAUUUUACGAAUCUCUAUUUUGAUACUUCUAGAGUCAGUUACGGUCAUUUGAAUGAAGAUAGGUCAUAUCAGGAAAUCUGCACGGGUUUGCAUACAUUCAUGGAGAACUCAAGUUCCAUGGCACAAGAUCUCCAAUCCUUAUGCUUCAAUGAAGUUAAUUCAGACGAGGAUGCAAAGAAUACAUGUAUUCCUAGUUCUACAAGAGAUAUUUCAAAUUCCAUAUCAAGAAAGGAGUCUGAUUUCAAGUCUUACAAGGAAACUUGAAGCCAAAGAUGAGCAGGAAAUCUCCCUUAUAUAAGGAGCACGAAUUUCACAAAGAAAGAGCUUCCAGGACGUGACAUACUUGGAGACAGCCAUCAUCACCUAUCUUUCAUCCAUUUUCCCUUUUAGUCUUUUUAUGUGUUUCAUUGUUUUCGUUAUGACUUUUAGUAGCUAAAUCUUUUGUUAGGGCCAUAAUGGAUCCUUAGCAUGACUAUUCGAUGUUUAUAGUUAGAUGAUUACUUUAUUAUUGGAUUGGUGUUGAGUUUUUAAUCUCUAUAAGAAUUGUUGCUUAUUUCAAAAUACUAGAGUCUCACGACCCUUAGGGUUUUGUUUUAAGCUAUUCAAUGCAAGAGUAGGUAGAUGCCAAUGCUGAAUCUUGAAUGCUUCUUGUGAUUAAAAACCAUAGAUUGAUAAGAUAGAUACCAUGUUUUAUUGGUUUAUGUGAGUCCUUUUGUUCUCAUUGAACUUCAUUGACCCUUAGAGAGUAUAUGUCAUACUUAUAAGAAUAGUUGAAUACUGUACUCUGCCAUAAGGUAGUAUUCAUGCUUUGGAGAACUCUCAUAUGAUGGAUUCUUCAACACCGGUUUAGUAGUUAGUAAUCGGUAGACUAGGAACUCGAAUAGGAUUGUGACGGUGAAGUUGGAAGCCCUAGCGUUUGUCCAUCGUUGUUUUCAAAACCCUUUCAAAACAUCUUCUCAAUCAAUUUGCUUGUUUUACUCUUUUCUCAUUGUUUACAAAAAUUACAAAAAUAUCUUCUUAUUUUCUUGUCAGUUGUUAGACUAAUUUGAUCAAUUAGUUAGAAUUGAAAGUUAGUUAUCCAUACCUAGUUGGAACGACCUCGUACUUGCAUAAGCUAUACUGUAAACGAUUCGUGCACUUAUGAAGUUAUUAAAAUUUGACAACAAGUUUUUGGCGUCGUAGCCAUAGUUUCUUUUUUAUUAGCCUUUUAGUUUCGUUUGUUUUUAGUCAUUGUUUUGUUUUAUGUGUAUUGAUUGAACAGUUAACUAUUCAAUUUUGAUUAAGCUAUUGUCCCCAGUGUUCAACAAGCAUUCUAAUUAUCUUCUGUUGAGCAGAUACUAGAGUAUUAUAUGUCAUUGGAAAGCUCUUCGAGUCUAGUUUCCAACUGGAGAAGCAUAUCAUGAAUCCGAUACUCAAGCAAAAAGUUAUUCACAGAAAAGUGGGCAGAGGUCAAAGCUAAGAAGUUCCUAGAAACCUGUUGUUCAAUCACUUGAAUUCAUAAUGGGUGAUCGUGCGUUGGUAAACAAUGAUCCACCAAAGAAGUUGUGCGAGUAUACUGCACCAACAACCUAUGAUGCACCUUUGUGUAUUGUUUUGGCACCUAUUGCGCAGCAAUUUGAGAUAUGCCCUACAACAAUCCAACUUCUACCUAUAUUCUAUAGGAAGGAGAAUGAGAAUCCCUAUAACCAUCUCAAAGGCUUCUUUGCUAUAUGUUCCACAUUCAAUUAUCAAGGAGUCACCAAGGAGCAGAUUCGACUUCGCUUGUUCCCGUUUUCUUUGAAAAAUAAAGCACAAAACUGGCUUAACUCUCUUAUGGAAGGCUCUAUCACCACCUGGGUGGAAUUGUCUAAAAAGUUUCUUAGCAAGUUCUAUCCGGCUCACAAGACGAAUGCAUUAAUCUCUGAGAUCAUGUCCUUAAUUUGCUCAACAUAUAUUGGACUUGUUCCCCUCCAUUUUAUGAGAAAUAAAGACUCGACCUUAAACCCUAAGGCCGAGUCCUGUUGUGCUUUAAAGAUUAUUGUGUUUUUGCACGGGUCUUUGGUUUCAUGUCCUCCCUGUUGUUUUCUCAUUUAUUGUUAAUUAUCACUUUGGUCACGCCUGAUUUUGGCAUGUGUUUUAUAUUUUAUAAUCUUGGCAAAAUCACUUCUUUGACGAACACACACCAUUUCAUUUAUCAAACGUACUGUGCAUUGAAACCAGUGGCCAAUAUUCAAACACUGGCCAUUUUUUUUCCAUGUUACACUAAUCAAUAUUCAAUCACAGACUUCUGUGUUUGAUACUUUUGAGUUAUUUAAAGAUAAAAUUAGAUAAAGAGUGCGGCUAUUGGGACCUCCAAAUUUGCUCAGUAUACCUCUCAUUCUCUCUACACCUCCCUUUUACUUUUCAAUAUAAACAUUUUCUCACUAGACCUCAUUUCAAAUUCCUAACAUAACCUUAGUUAUUUAUUGACAUAUAUUUCAAUUAAUUACCUACUUUAACUCUUAUUCACUCAAUAGACCUCUCAUUCAUUUUUUUUUUACCUUUUUGUUUUUGAACAUCCAUUAUCCCUACGGACCCUACCUUCAUUUUUUGAUUAUUUUUUUCAUGCAAGAAAACGUUUUAUCAUGAACUAUUCUAUAUAUCUUUUUAACUUUUGUUUUUCUCUUCUGUACGUGUUGUUUUUUUUUUUCUGUUUUUUUAUUUUGAAUAGUUUGAUCUAUAUUUUAUACCUCAUAAUAAAUUAUUUUAAUAAAUAUAUAUUUUCUAUAAUCAAUAGAGAUAUAUAUAUAUAUUUUUUUUNNNNNNNNNNNNNNNNNNNNUCACAUAAUCGAUAUUUGAUCAUUGUUUUAGCUCUUAUAAACUAUAUAUAUAUAUAUAUAUUUAUAUAUAUGCUUUAAUAAAAAGAAAUUAGAAAACAAAAAUAUAUAAGGAAAAUAAUAAAUAAUGUAAUCAAUUAUUAUUGAAUUGGAAAGUCUAAAGAGAAUAAAUAUAAUAUUUCCUUUUGUAUAAUUAUUGUCCUUAAUAGUCAUUGUGUAUGAGGAUAUAUAUGUCAUUUAAUAAUUCAUAAUAAAGUGAGGUCUAGUGAGCAAAUUUGGAGGUCCCAAUAGUCGCACUCUUAGAUAAAAACCUAAAAUACUAGACCUCUUUUAAGAUAAAUCCAGACAUAUUUUUCUUUCAUUUUACACUCACUCCACAUAAGCAAACUUACAAUAUAGAGCAAAUGUCUAUAAUUAAUAGUUUUAUUCAUUUUUCGGUUUAUCUGAUUUGUCUUUCAGACGGUAUAAAUCUAAAUUUGGUAUCUUUCUCAAUUUUAGCAUCAAUUUGAAACUCAAUACUGAGCUAAAAUUUAGUUGGAUUUAACUUUGUUAUAAUCAAUUAUAUUCUUUAAUUUCUUACCUUGUUAUUACUAACUUGAGUGUAUAUAUAUGCUAUUAUGUCAUUUGUAAUAGAAUGAUUUUUUUCAUUCAUAAGCUCACAUUUGGUGUCUCUCUACAUAGUUGAAAAAUGUAUAAUUGUAAGGUACACGUUCUUGUUCUUUGAUUAAUUUUCUUCUUUUUAGAUAUAUUAUUAUAUUAUUUCCAAUCCUGAUCGAGAGAACAUUUUACUCUCAACUACUUACAUUUUUAAUGUACCUAUUAAGUAGGACAUGAUAUGAUAAUAUACCUAAAAAGAAGAAACCCAAAAUUGGGUUUAGGGUAUAGGACUAAGGUAUAGGGUUAGGGUAUAGGGUUUAGGGUUUAAAGAUCAAAAUAGCUAAAAUGGUUUUUCAUCAUAGAAAUCCACAUGUCAGAAUUUGAAUGGAAUACACGUCAGAUUUCACAUGUUCAUACGCUAACAAUGUAAAAUUUAUUCAUUUUACUAUAAUAAUCAAAUAUCUUAUUUAUAUUAUAUUUUACCUUAUGUAUAGAUCAGGUAAUGAAUUCCUUUCACCUAAAUUUUUUCAUAAAAAAUAAAGAAAACUGCAUGAUUCUGGUAAAUUGAUUGAAAAAUUUUAGUGUUAGAAGAAAAACUCACAAUGAAGGUAUUUAAGACAACAUCAAUUAAGUUUAUUUAUUAUGUUUAUAUGUUAUAGUUGAAUGGUGGUAAUUGUGUAAAAUUUAGAAAAAAUAGGACAUAAUAUGUAUCAUAAUUGAUACAUUUUAGAUGUCUAUUAAAUAUGAAUAUUAGGUGGGUUUUAUUUAAAAUCACUCUUUAAAAUUGAGUGUAUAUGAAAAUCCCCCUUAUUUAAAUCUACUAUAUAUAGUUGAACCAAUAACAUGAUGAACAUACAAGUCUCAUAAAACAUACAAGAGUUUCAUGAUCUUAUUGCCUUCUACUUUUAGACUUUCUGCUGUGAAAUGGCUGAGACUAGACUACUAGAGUAAAAGAUUUGCUAGCACAAGCUUAUCGGUGGUCAUGGCAAACAGAAAGAAAACAUGCAAAAACAAGAAAGAACUUGACUAAGAGCACAUAUGAAGUUUAACAGCAUGGAGUUUCUGGAUGGAGGGAUCAAGGGAAGUAUGGUACCAGGAGAAGAUAAAGAGGAGCUUUCUUACACACCGUGCAAUGAAGCCUGAAAGAGGGUCAAUCCAUUUCAAAGAAGGGAAGAAAUCUCCGAAACUGAAUGACAUUAGUUCCACCAUGAACCUUCUUGAUGUCUUUCCAUACCAAUCACCAUCUUCUACGAACUUCAUACCCAAAUAGUUUCACAAACGAUACAAUAUCGAUAAGUUUUUGCUAAUAUUUUUGGGCUGAAAACUUAUGAAACGACCGAACUGGUUUGAGUAUCCUAUGAGAUUAUGGCAUCCGAACAAAACGUAGUAGUACACUAGUGUUACUGUGUUAGGCUGUUAGCGAAGGUUCAAGUAGUAGUAGUACUUACGAACGAGAUGGGAAGCACCCAAACAGACACUUUCUUCUACUGGGCUCAUCGAUCUGCCUUGGACUAACCAAUUCCGACGAUCGGUCAUUGAUCUUUCGCUAAAAUGAAAAUGUUCCAUGUCACACGUAUUCUUCUUUCAAUUCAUGACCUUCUGGGCGUCCUUAGCAGUUCCAUUGUGACGAAUACCUUCUGUUUUCUCCAUAUCCCUACCUAUCUCUCCAAGUUUGGGCCUUUCUGUUUUGUUUUGGGCUGUAUCCCUUGAGAUAUAUGCUUUUUUGGGCUAAGCCUUUCUUAAAGUUGAAACUUGAAACUAGGGCACCAACUUCUCCGUCACUAAAUGGAGCUGUCCACUCUGCUCUGGCCUUGUGGAAUAGUCAAUUGUACAGAUCAUGUACGUUCUGCUUUUCCUCCAAGUCUCCAGGUACUGCCUAUGUUCUCUGUUCCAUUCCCAUUGGCCAGGAGUCUCUGUUAGCAGGCAUUGUUAAAAUGGGCAGUAAGUGCACCACUUCGUGCAGUGAAUCGUGAUAAUUAAGUGAUUUUUGGAUCCCUUAGUUUGACUGAGCAAGAUCUUGUUAAAAUGGGCAGUAAGUGCACCACUUCGUGCAGUGAAUCGUGAUAAUUAAGUGAUUUUCGGAUCCCUUAGUUUGACCGAGCAAGAUCUUGUAUAAUCUUUCUGAUCAAAUUUUUUUUUAUCUAUUCCCUUGAAAAGAAAAAAAGAAAAAAGAAAAAGGGGGGGGUAUGUUAAUAAUAUAGAUGUGUAUAUCAAAUAGUGUUUUGGGGGCUUUGAACAGAAUGUUUUGGGAUUUCCACAAUCAUACUGGUUGAAAAAUGACAUAACAUCAAUUAAAAGCCAUUAUUUUCGAAACCAAUCAUGUGGUAACUAAAAUUUAUCAAGGACUCAUGGACUAAUAAUUACUACUUUAAUGACUCAAUUUACCGAUUUAAGGUAAUUUUAUACAUGUUCUACAGGAAAAUUCUAGGGUGAGUUGAUGCAUUGGAUAUAAUAAAACUUUGAAUAUAUUAACGGCUUAGAUUAUUCAAUAUUGAUGACUUGUUUACCAGGUAGCAUGUAAUUUUAUAACUUAUAUAUGAAAAAUAUAAUCAAAAACAAAAACAGAAUUUAAAAAACCCUAGCUUAUUAGAAACAGAAAAAAUGAACAAGUCCGUUCCGUUUCGUUCCUCUACCGAUUUGCACUGAUUUGCUAAGAUAAAACCUAAAGUGAAGGAAAAGAAGAGGAGAUGAAGGAGAAAGAGGUUGGCUUCAUAUUCGUUCUGUGAGAAGAGGAGAGGAAGUAAGAGGAGAGGAAGGAGAAAGAGGUUGAUAAAACCUAAGGUAAUUUGCUCUCUCAAAUUCAUUCGUUCUGUGAUGUAUAUGAGUUUAUCAAAUGCCACAAAUGGCUUCACAUUUGUUUUAUGAAUCAUCAUCAUGUAUAUAUCUGUGGCCUGCAUCAUUGAAUGAGAUUUUUCAUAACAUGGGUGCUCCAGCUCUUCAAGCUGAUUUGGAGAAACUGAUUUAUAUUGAGAUUUGAGAUUAGAAUAAUAGAGAGGAGCCCUAGCCAUGUCGAAGCGAGGGCGCAGAGGUUCCGCUGGGAACAAGUUCCGGAUGUCGUUGGGUCUGCCGGUGGGGGCGACGGUGAACUGCGCGAACAACGCCGGCGCCAAGAAUCUGUACAUCAUCUCAGUGAAGGGAAUCAAGGGGCGGCUGAACCGGCUGUUGUCGGCGACAUGGUGAUGGCCACCGUGAAAAAAAGGGAGCCGGACCUGAGGAAGAAGGUGAUGCCAGCUGUCAUUGUGAGGCAGCGCAAGCCGUGGCGCUGAAAGGAUGGUGUUUUCAUGUACUUUGAAGACAAUGCUGGUGUCAUUGUGAAUCCAAAGGGUGAAAUGAAAGGAUCUACUAUCACAGGGCCUAUUGGAAAGGAAUGCGCUGAUCUGUGGCCAAGAAUUACGAGUGCAGCUAAUGCCAUAGUUUGACUGUCUCAACUCACUUUAGAUUGGUUUUUUUUAGUUGUCCUUUGAACUCUAGAUGAGUAUGCCCAUGUGGUGUUUGAACUUACUAUCCUACAAUCAUGUAGACUCUGAUAGUUAAAGAGUUUUUGUUCUAAAAAAAAUAGGGAGGAACAAUGGCCUUAAACUGUAAGCGUCUUAAGUUGGUAUGCAUUUUGACAGAUGGAGCUUUAAACUUCAAUUGAAAGCUGGAAGUCUAGAACCUUGUAUGAUUGAAACCAGCAAGAAGAAUGCUUGCGAGUGAAAUUAACAUCUUUUUGGGCUUUUCAACCUUGGAUUGACGUCAUACUUGAUUGGGGAGAUGAUGUGAUACUCUGAAAAUGUAGAAAGUAAAUUAUAUAUAUAUAUAUAUAUGAACACACAAAAUUUGAGGAUUUGGUCAAAUUCAUAUCGACACGUUAUAAAUGAGGGUUGGCAAGAAAUAUUUUCGAAAUCGAUGAAUAAUAAGAAUGCUCAAAAUGUUAUUCGAAUUUUCUAUGACAAGAUAAAGUCAGUAUUUAUGAUGGUUUAUGAGAAGUUCUUGUAUUCAUAAGAAUAACUAUUUAUCGGGACUUUCCAAAGCUUAGAGAUUAUGAAAAUUCAUUUAAAUAUCGUGAUAACCCGUAUUUUAGGUAUAAAAUUAAUAGCAAUUUGAGUAACCAUAUGUGGAAUUAGUGUUCAAUUAUGCCACAUAUAACUUUUGUAUCAACUUUAUGAAUAUGAUCGUUGGUGACAUCAUAUGAGUAUAUAUGAGACAAUAAAUAUAUUUUUUGUAAUAAAAUAGAUAUUAUUAAUAUAAAUAACAAAAUAGAAAAGAGAAGAGAGGUCUAGAAAGGUCGGUGUCAAAACUGACAUAAGCCACCGACAUCAGCCCUCUCUCGAGAUAAGAGUGGAAAGGGACUGGAUCAAGGGCGAUCCUUCGGGAAGGAUCGAGCAUCCUCAACCUGAGAGAAGAGGAAGGCUUCUGAGGCUUAUAUAGCUUGAGACCCUUUAACAAGACAGGGAGAAGAGGGACGAGGGGGAUCUGAUUGGGAGGUCCAACAAUUGUAGACUGGUCUUGGCGGUGAGCUCUUAUAUAUGUAUUUGCUAGAGUUUAAUAGGGUAUUUGAAUUCGGUAGGUAGCAGAUAUGAUAAUUGGGUUGGGGUUGUGUGCUUGAUUUUGGCUCAAAAUCGUACAUGGUUGUUUUCUGGAAAUUUGAAAAUGGAUUCACUUUUGAUAUAAUGAUUGUUUGUGUUGGCAUAUCUAGGAAGAAGAAAGGUGUUAAUUUGAUGAAUGGGAAACUAGGGUAUGAUUGCUGAGAAAAUAUGGAUUAUGUUCCAUGAAAAUAUCGAUUAUUUUCGAUUUAUUUGGGGUCAGGCUGUUACAGAUGAGUUGCUUUUCAACUGGGGAGAUGAGUUUUUUCCUUCGAUAGAAUUGGGGAGAUGAGUUGGAGAGAGAGAAGACAUCAGGGAUGGCAAGCCAAAUUGAUUUUCUUAAAAGAAACAAAGAAAAAAAAAAUACAAAGUCAGUCAAAUUUCAUCUUACAAGUUAGACAAAUAUGUAUACCCAUAAAAUAGUAGAUGUGUUGUUAUACAAGUAAAAUGUUAUUAAUAUGAGUAAAUUGUCGUUGAGACCAUUUUGAUGUAAUGAGGAUGUUUAUAUUGUAAAUCAUGUCUUUUAAGAAGUUUUAAGCUAUGUGACGACAUUUUUACAUCGUUUAUCGAUAAUUAAGGUGAAAAUAGUAAUUAAUGUCGAUUUCAUGGUAGUUUUUUGUAUGAGAACCAUUAGAUUCAUAAGUCAACGAAUUGUUUAAAAAGUAGUAAUUAAGCUUUUAUUUGUAGUAAUUUUUUCAAUUACAAGUUCGAGAAUUAUUUUACCAAUCUGACAAUAAAUUGUCAUAAUUGUGGUAAAACUGAUGUACAUACGAUAAAUAAGUUGUUUAUGUAAUAUUGUCUUUUAUCUAGUAAUUAAUACCUUACUUUAUGUAAAUUUUGUUGUGAUUGAUAUAAUUACUUGUAAUACAACGUGUUUUACUAUAAAUUACAACAACCAAGGUAUAGCUGGUAAAUAUAGUCGUAUUCUUGAUAUUACUUAGAAUACAAUCCAUUUUAUGAAAAUAACGAUAAUUUUAUCUCUAGUGAUAACAAAUAUUGUAAAUAUUAAUAAUCAAGCCUAAAUUAUCUAAAGUUGUUAAUCUUGUAAAAUAGUUAUUUUUUAUGUAAUUAUGGUCCUUUUUUAAGUAAAUUACACCAUUCAUGAUAUCUUUAUUACAAAUACCACAUUUAGCGUAUUUAGUGAUAAUUACAGUGGUAAACCAAGUAAUUACAGCAUUUACGACCCUCAUUAUAAGUUUUUGAACAAUUCAUGUAUAACAUAAUUAAAAAGUCCUUAAAAUUGUAAUUUUUUCUACACAUAUCACAAUAUUACUGGAUGACAUGUUUACCUGUACAACAAAUUGUUUAUUUUUAUAUAUUAUUAUAAAAUAGUUGAUGCAUACUACGUAUCAACUCACCCUAACCUUCCCAUAUUCUACAUUAACACGCAUAUGAAAGUUUUGUAUAAAGUUGUUGCAAAGUCAUUGCAUUCCUUGUGCACUCAAAGAUAUUUUAGAACGGAAGAAUUUUCAACAUAUCCUCUUUGACUAUCUCUGUUGUUUAGAGUACUUUUCCUACGGACAUAGUACCAAAAUGAAAUGGAUGAGCACAUGCAUGCACAAGAAAAUGAUCGCAGUUUUUGCAAUUGAGUCGACCUAUUUGCAUGAACGUACUAAACAAUUGAGAAGUUGAUUAGUCCAGGCACUACUAGAAAAAUAUGUACGUAAUGGACACUUUUUGUGGAUACAUUUUUUUAACUACUAGAAAAAUAUGCACGUAGUGGACACUCUGUGGAUACAUUUUUUUAACUGUAUUAUUUGAGUAGAGCAAAUGACAAAAUACUAAAUUUAUGUUUUAUAUCAGUAGUCGCCACUCGAGAAGGUGCAAAUUGAAAAACAAAUGAAUUAACAAAGAAAAAAGGUGCAAAUUGUUGAACUUCGGUGCUUCCAUGGCUUGACUUCUCCGACGGAUGACAACAUGGAUGAGCGUAUGGAGUGAAUAUUGUCAUUUGCUCAGCCCUGGCUAGCUCCACAAUGCUAAGUACAGUAAAACCUCAAUACAGACUGGCAAAAUUUAUUAAUUUAACGAGAUAUUAAUUAAUCUGAUAAAUUAAUAAAUUAUUAAUUUAUUGAUUAUUCAAUAACUUAUUAUUUUAUCAAAAUAUUAUUUAAUUUUUUAAAUAUGACUUUUUUAUAUUUUCAACAAAAAUAAUAUUAUUGUGCAUUGUUCAAUUAAUGUCUAUAUUGUCGAAUUUGUUAUUAUGUUAUAGUGUUUAAUAUGCUACUUUAUUCGAUGUACAACAUUUUCAACAUACAAUGUUAAUUAGUUUGGAAGUACUAUAUAUAUAAUUAGUUUAUUGGAUGAACACUAAAUAAACAAAACCAUAUAAUCACACAUCACAUAAGAAAAACAAAAAUGGUUUCUCAUCUCAAAGGAGUAAAGAAAAUCAACGAUAACGGAUGAAAUGCGUAAAAUAUUGUGCGAGUACAUUAAAGACAAUCCAUGCAUGUAGCACUCAAAAGCAUUUGCAACAGUACGUUUUAGAAAAGUUUGACUUGCAAGUGAGUCUAAUGACGAUAUCAAAUACGAUCAAUGCUGACCUCAAUUUUCAAGAAGAAACAAGUCACAAUUGAGUCUUAGAAAUGAGUCAUUCUUUAUUAAGUCUUAGAAAUGAAUAAUUAAUCAUGUGUAUUAAGGAAUUUUCAACAUAUCUUCUUUGACGAAUAGACACUAUAUUACCAAAAAAAUUGACGGAUACAUGCACUAGGGACAACGUGGAUUGCAAUAUCAAUUGAAACAAUGAGAUGUUUGAGUUUGGAAUUUAAUAUAUAGCAUGGCACAAACUACGACGUAGCCAUAAAUAAUGCAACAAUUAAUCAGACUCAAGUUCAUCAGUCUGAUAUUGACUGAGAAUAUGUAAAUUGAUUUUCUUCGAUCGAUCUCUGUUGUUUAGAGUACUUUUCCUACGGACAUAGUACCAAAAUGAAAUGGAUGAGCACAUGCACAAGAAAAUGAUCGCAGUUUUUGCAAUUGAGUCGACCUAUUUGCAUGAACGUACUAAUCAAUUGAGAAGUUGAUUAGUCCGGGCACUACUAGAAAAAUAUGUAGUGGACUCUUUGUGGAUACACUUUUCUAACUGUAUUAUUUGAGUAGAGCAAAUGACACCCUUUUAUAUUUUUAGUAUUCUUUACUUUAUGGAUACUGAAAACUGUGACUAAAGAGAAAAAAAUGGGGAAGGCUAAGAUGAGUUGAUGCAUGAUAUGCGUCAAUUAUUUUACAAUAAUAUAUAAAAUUGAACAACCUGUUGUACAGGUAAACAUGUCGUCCAGUACUAUUGUGACAUGUGUAAAAAAAUUACAAUUUUAAAAAUCUUUUAAUUAUUUUAUACGUGAAUUGUUCAAAAACGUGUAAUGAGGGUCGUAAAUUUUGUAAUUACUUAGUUUACCACUGUAAUUACCACUAAAUACGUUAAAUGUGGUAUUUGUAGUAAAAAUAUCAUGAAUGGUGUAAUUUACUUAAAAAUGACCAUAAUUACAUAAAAAAUAACUAUUUUACAAGAUUAACAACUUCAGAUAAUGUAGGUAUGAUUAUUAAUAUUUGCAAUAUUUGUUGUCACUAGAGAUAAAAGUUAUUUUUGUAAAAAUGAUCGUAUUCCAAGUGAUAUCAAGAGUACAACUAUAUUUACCAAUUAUACCUUAGUUGUUGUAAUUUAUAGUAAAACACGUUGUAUUAUAAGUAAUUAUCUCGCUCAAUCACAACAAAAUUUACUUAAAGUAAGGUAUUAAUUACUAGAUAAAGGACUUUAUUACACAAACAACUUAUUUACUAUAUGUACAUCAGUUUUACUAUUAUUACGAAAAUUUGUUGUCAAAUUGGUAAAUUAGUUCUCGAACUUGUAAUUGAAAAAAUUACUACAAAUACAAGCUUGAUUACUACUUUUUUAACAAUUAGUCGACUUAUGAAUCAAAGGGUUCUCAUACAAAGAACGACCAUGAAAUCGACAUUAAUUACUACUUUCACCUCAAUUGUUGAUAAACGAUAUAAAAACGUCGUCACAUAACAUAAAACUUCUUAAAGGACAUGAUUUACAAUAUAAACAUCUUCAUUACAUCAUAAUGGUCUCAACAACAAUUUACUCAUAUUAUUAACUUUUUACUUGUAUUACAAUAGAUUGAUUGUUUUAUUGAUAUACAUGUUCUCUAAGCUCGUAACAUGAAACUUUGAAGACUUUGUAUUUGUUUUUUCUUUCUUUUUUCUUAUUUCGUUUUCAUCCCCAACUACGGAUCAAGAAGGCAUUGGAUGAGGUAGGAUUGGUACAAGAAAACACAACAAGGAUGAAAUAUUAUUCAAUGGUAUAGUCUUAAGUUAACCUUAUCUGCUUAGGACUUUGGUUUUCAUAAAAGUAGCCAUCCUAAAUUUAACCUUAUAUUUCACAGUUGUCUUUCAUGAAAUAUUAUGGAGUGCGGCUAUUGGGACCUCCAAAUUUGCUCACUUGACCUCACUCUAUUAUGAAUUAUUAAAUGACAUAUUUAUCCUCUUACACAAUGACUAUUAAAGACACUGAUUAAAUAAAAAGUAAUAUUACAUUUAUUCUCUCUAAACUUUCUAAUUCAAUAAUAAUGCCAUAAUAGAUUGCAUUUUAUUAUUUUCCUUAUUGAUUUGUAUUUUCUAGUUUUACCACAUACUUAUUAAAGUAUUUAUAUAUUUAUAUUAUCAUACAUGUCACAUGCAUAUACAAAAUGAAAUUUUUUUACAAAAAUUAUGAUCUAUCAAUUAUAAAAAAAAAUAAUAAAUAAGUAUAAUAAUAUUUUUACAAAUUAUAAUCUAUCAAUUAUUAAAAUCAUUUAUCAUCAUGGGUAUAAAAACAAAAAAUAUAAACUUACAAAAAAAAAUAGUAUGUGUAAAAUAGAAAUACAAAAAUAACAAAAAUAUAUAAUAGUUCAUGUAAGAACAUUCGUUGGAUGAUCGAUAAAUAAAAUUUGAGACACAAUCCUUGUUUUUUUUUUUAAUAUUUUAAGAGAAUAGUAUUCUACUAUUCUUCAUGAUUCGAAUGAACUUUUAUCGAAAAUUGUUGUCAUUGAAAAUAAUUUCUUACAAUUUGAUCAAAAAAUGAAUGUCUAGUGACAUUUUAUGCAAAAUAAAAAAUAGAAAAAAAAUAAAGAAAUCAACGUCGGGAAUGGAGGUUUGCAUUAAAAAGAAAAAAAAAUUAAAGAAUGGAAGUCGGAAAUGGAUGUUCAAAGGCAAAAAGAAAAAAAAAAGAAUUUGAGGGAUAAGUGAAUAAGAGGUGAUGAGUAACAUAUUAAUAUAUAUGUGAAUUACAUAAAUAAGGCUAUUUUAGGAAUUUGAAAGGAGGUCUAAUGAGAAAAUGCUUGUAUUUAAAAGUAAAAUAGAGGUGUAAAGAGAAUGAGAGGUAUACUGAGCAAAUUUGGAGGUCCCAAUAGCCGCACUCAAUAUUAUGCAAUGGUAUAGUCUUAAGUUUUUCAUGAUUAUAAUGGUAAACCAAGUAAUUACAACAUUUACGACCCUCAUUACACGUUUUUGAACAAUUCACGUAUAAAAUAAUUAAAAGGUUUUUAAAAUUGUAAUUUUUUUACGCAUGUCACAAUAGUACUGGAUGACAUAUUUACUUGUACAACAGGUUGUUCAAUUUUAUAUAUUAUUUUAAAAUAGUUAAUGCAUGGUAUGCAUCAACUCAUCCUAGCCUUCCCCUUAAUUUAUUGAUUAUUCAAUAACUUAUUAGUUUAUCAAAAUAUUAUUUAAUUUUUUAAAUAUGACUUUUUUAUUUUUUCAACAAAAAUAAUAUUGUUGUGCAUUGUUCAAUGUCUAUAUUGUCGAAUUUGUUAUUACGUUAUAUUAUUUAAUAUGCUACUCUAUUCGAUGUACAACAUUUUCAACAUACAAUGUUAGUUCAGAGGUACUAUAUAUAUUAGUUCAUUGGAUGAAUAUUAGAUAAACAAAACCAUAUAAUCACACAUCACAUAAGAAAAACAAAAAUGGUUUCUCAUCUCAAAGAUGAGUAAACAAAAUCGAUGAUAACGGAUGAAAUGCGUAAAGCAUUGUGCGAGUACAUCAAAGAUAAUCCAUGUAGCACUCAAAAGCAUUUGCAACAGUACGUUUUAGAAAAAUUUGACUUGCAAGCGAGUCAAAUGACAAUAUCAAAUACGAUCAAGCGAUCAAGGUGACCUCAAUUUUCAAGAAGAAACAAGUCACAAUUGAGUCAUUCUUUCUUAAGUCUUCAUAAAUGAAUAAUUAGUUAUGCGUAUUAAGAAAUUAUUAAUUUAUAUAUUCAUUGGGUCUAUGUGAAUUCUCGUAUUUGUAUUAUCUUAUAAAUUUAACACAUUGUCCCCAACUUGGAACCUGCAAAAAUUAUUAUUUUAGCGAGGAUAUUAAUUAAUCGAGUAUUAAAUUAUCGAAGUUUUACUGUACGUACGUAAAACUAGUCUCCUCAUACAAUGAUCGGUUUGUUAGCAAGCUGCACGUAUCAGUGUAUCACUAUAAAUAUCAAGGCACCGCGAUAGUUCAACUCACACCGUGAUAGUUCAUCGUAUUACUUAUACACCAAGUAUCGAAGAUAUUUUAAAACAAACAAGUUUAUGACGUAUUAAUUUUCUUUGACGAAUACACUAUAUUGCUAAAAUGAUUAAUUGACAAAUACGUAUACAUUAGGAUAACGUGGAUUGCAAAACUUGAGCAAACAUGAGAUGUUUGAGUUUAGGAUUUCACAUUAUAUUAGGUGUUUAAAUUUAGGAUUAAAUUCAGUUUGCCCCCUCGUGCUUUAGGUCAAUAAUCAGUUUGGUCUCAUAUCUUUUUUUUUUAAUAACGUUGGUCUUUGUACUCUCAAAUGACAUCAUCUAAGUCCAAAAUUUGAAUUUUAGUGUAAAAAUGGGUGAGUUUGGUCCUUGAAAAAUGACUUUUUUCAUUGUUAGAAUGUUUAUUUGCCUUUUUGCCUUAUUUAUAGGUUAAAAAGCUCAAAUGUGGAUCUCCAUGUCAGUUUCAAGUCAGCAAAUAAUAUUAUUUUUGAAGCCAUAUUAAAAUUAUGGACUUAGUUGAUGAUGUUUGAGAGUACAAGGACCAACGUUAUUAAAAAACAAGAUAUGGGACCAAACUGAUUAUUGACCUAAAGCACGAGGGGGCAAACUGAAUUUAAUCCUUAAAUUUAAGCAUGAACAUAAUGAAAAAAAUAAAUGGCUUCAAAAAUGUUUUUGUAUAGUAUAAAGACAAAAUAGUCUUGAGUACUAUUGGAUUUGCAAAUGAUAAGAUUGUAUUUUUACUUAAGAAUGACAUGACAUGAUUUUUUAAAUUGAUGAUGUGUUUAGGUGACAUGUCAUACUACCUAGGAUUAAGGCAAAANNNNNNNNNNNNNNNNNNNNNNNNNNNNNNNNNNNNNNNNNNNNNNNNNNNNNNNNNNNNNNNNNNNNNNNNNNNNNNNNNNNNNNNNNNNNNNNNNNNNNNNNNNNNNNNNNNNNNNNNNNNNNNNNNNNNNNNNNNNNNNNNNNNNNNNNNNNNNNNNNNNNNNNNNNNNNNNNNNNNNNNNNNNNNNNNNNNNNNNNNNNNNNNNNNNNNNNNNNNNNNNNNNNNNNNNNNNNNNNNNNNNNNNNNNNNNNNNNNNNNNNNNNNNNNNNNNNNNNNNNNNNNNNNNNNNNNNNNNNNNNNNNNNNNNNNNNNNNNNNNNNNNNNNNNNNNNNNNNNNNNNNNNNNNNNNNNNNNNNNNNNNNNNNNNNNNNNNNNNNNNNNNNNNNNNNNNNNNNNNNNNNNNNNNNNNNNNNNNNNNNNNNNNNNNNNNNNNNNNNNNNNNNNNNNNNNNNNNNNNNNNNNNNNNNNNNNNNNNNNNNNNNNNNNNNNNNNNNNNNNNNNNNNNNNNNNNNNNNNNNNNNNNNNNNNNNNNNNNNNNNNNNNNNNNNNNNNNNNNNNNNNNNNNNNNNNNNNNNNNNNNNNNNNNNNNNNNNNNNNNNNNNNNNNNNNNNNNNNNNNNNNNNNNNNNNNNNNNNNNNNNNNNNNNNNNNNNNNNNNNNNNNNNNNNNNNNNNNNNNNNNNNNNNNNNNNNNNNNNNNNNNNNNNNNNNNNNNNNNNNNNNNNNNNNNNNNNNNNNNNNNNNNNNNNNNNNNNNNNNNNNNNNNNNNNNNNNNNNNNNNNNNNNNNNNNNNNNNNNNNNNNNNNNNNNNNNNNNNNNNNNNNNNNNNNNNNNNNNNNNNNNNNNNNNNNNNNNNNNNNNNNNNNNNNNNNNNNNNNNNNNNNNNNNNNNNNNNNNNNNNNNNNNNNNNNNNNNNNNNNNNNNNNNNNNNNNNNNNNNNNNNNNNNNNNNNNNNNNNNNNNNNNNNNNNNNNNNNNNNAAUAUAUAUAUAUAUAUAUAUAUAUAUAUAUAUAGCAUGGUAGCCAUAUAUAGAGUGCAACAAUGAGACUAGUUCAUCAGUCUGAUAUUGACUGAGAAUAUUGAUCUUCUUCUCUCUCUUUAGACAUUUCCUAUCGUGACACCAAAAUGAUGAAAUAAUGGAUAAGCGCAUGUGCAAGAAAAUGAUCGGAGUAGUUAUUGGAAUCAAAACCAAUUUGCAUGAAUUCAUGCCUCGCUCUUACAUGAGUGAAGUUGAGUUAAUAGUCCGGGAUUAUCUACGUACGUACGACUUGUCCUCACACAACAGUCGCUUUGUUAUCAGUGUAUCACUAUAAAUAUCGAGGCACCGUGGUAGUUUAACUCACACCAGCAAGCUAACUCUCCCGGCUUUAGUUGUUUAACUAUACCAGAGUCUCAGCUUCCAUUUUUCGAGUGCUUCGAUUCCCCUAGCUAUAAUGGAUCCUCUGUUGGUUUCAGCAUCUCAAUCUCAAACCCAAAAUGGCAGUAGCACUGCAGAUGUUGAACGACGUUCAGCUGAUUUUUCUCCCAGCGUUUGGGGGGAAUAUUUUCUGGCAUAUGCAUAUGUGGUAGGUUAUUUUUGAAGUAAUUUGCAGCAUCAAGCACAUCAUAUGAAUAUCAUAUUUAUCUAAUUACCCCCUUCAAAAUUUUCAUCUACUGUAGGAAACUGCUGAUAUUGAAGCCGACAAACGUGUCGAAGAAGUGAAGGAAGAAGUGAAGAGGGUGCUACUUAGUUCUCCGCCUUCACAGAGAUUAGACUUGAUUGAUUACAUUCAGCGCUUGGGGGUGUCACACCAUUUUGAGGAUGAGAUUCACCAACUUUUGCAGCAAAUUCACAACCAAUACUCAUCUUCUUCUUCAGAUGAUGAUGACCUUCACACUGUUGCUCUACGUUUUCGGCUGCUUAGGCAAGAAGGAUUUAAGGUUUCAUGCGGUGAGAAUCGUUCUUUUUUUUCCAAUUUUUCUAUAUAUUUAACAAUGGAUUAUUUCCUCUUAUUUCUUCUCUUGGUUGAUGAUCAUUAAGCAGACAUGUUCAACAAGUUCAUCGAUGUUGAUGGGAAUCUUAAGGAAUCAUGCGUCGCUGACGUACCAGGACUGCUAAGUUUGUAUGAAACAGCACAUCUAAGGAAAC